rnacentral:lncRNA from 1 species
UCACGUUGUAUUUAUGUUGAAUUGCAUCACAAGAAUCUCUUUUUAUUUGUAUGAUAUUAUCUCUGUUUUGGUAAAGUGAAAAAGUGUGGUUUGUUCCCAAACGCUCCUCUUUCACAUAUAUUGAAUGGUUACAAUUAAAAAUGGAAUAAAUCAGAUUUUUCUUUUGAGCUUGUUGGGUUGGUUCUUAACAUGGAAUCUCCUCAGUUUCAUAGUGUAGUGGUGGGACAAAGGCAAAGCACCGCUGUCAUCACUCCCCACUCAUUCAACCAUUUUCCAUUUCCCCAUCUCACUCUUUUUCUUUUUCAAUUAUUUUGCUUUAUUCUGUCCCCUUCUCUUUCCUCUCUAUAUAACACCCACCCAAUGCUUUCCCACUCCACUUUCAACCAACUCUCAUUCAAAACUCUUCUCUUCCUCUCACAAUCCAACACACAUGGCCGCUUCCAGAACCCACUACAUCACCGCCGCCGCCUACUCUCCCAGGGCUUCUGCCCGCCCCUUUCCCAAGCGAGGUCAGGUCAAAUUGGGGAUUAUGGUGGGUCUUGCCCACACCGUUGCUUCAAUUUUCUCACCCACCACUCGUCGGACUUAGACUACAAGGCGGCCAGCGGUGGCUCUCACACUGAACCGCCCGGCCCGGCCCGACUCCCUCUUUUUUUCUUUUUUAUGAGUUGAUGGAAGAGAAACGGCAUGGACACGGAUCGGAGAGUCUCCGGAGCUCUUUUGGUGUCUUUUUGUAUAAACAAUUUUUCUUUUUUUCUUUUGUGAAAUUAAUGGAAAAAAUGGAGACUUAUUCAUUCUCUAUUUAUCAUUUUGUGGCUCUAAGUUUCUAAUUCUUCUUUUUUAAGUAUAAUAAAUUAUGCAAAUUAAUCAUCCCAAUUACAUUUAUUAUUUUUGUACUCAACUAUAAUAAUUAAUAAAUAAAUUAGAUGAGAUGGAGGAAAUUAUGAUGCUACAAAUUAAUAAUAAAUAACAAAAGAAUCUACAAUUAUAGAUAUAGUUGAGAAAUUCUAAGUAUUUUCAUUGCCUAUAAUUUAAGAUGGAUAAGGUUUGGAUUGUGAAAAAAUUUGGAUAUGCACUUGAAUAUUUCCAAAGGAUGAUGUCUGUAAAAAAAAAUCUUUUAUUUAUCUUAUAAAUAUGUUAUAGUUUCUUAUAGAAAAACAUAUAGAAGAAGAUCAAGCUCAUAUAUAAGAUUACAAUAAUAUUCAUCUUUUAUUGAAUUAUAUAACAAAAUACUUUUUAAACUGAUUAUCAAUUCUACCAUAAAUCGUCAUAAACUAUAAAAGGGCUCAAAGCUUUAAAUUAGAAGGUUAAGGAUUAACAAUCUUCUUUCUUUUUCUUUUAAUUCAUUGAUGAGAACGUCGUAAGCUAAUUAGUUAUGAAAUAUAUCGGCUACAAACAACACACAACAUUCAACACUGAUGACUUUGACAGUUUAUUAGCAAUAUUACAGAAAGAAAAAAAAAAGAUGGAUAUAGAAAAGAGAAAUGAAUUGUUACAUAUGAUAAAUAGUAAAGAAAUGGAAAUGGGUACAUAUGAAAUUAAAAAAGGGGUACGGGAAAACGAUGUCCCUAGCUGUACUGAUAAAAAUGAUCCCACCCAUUUAAAACCAAAUCUAUUUAUUAUAUUUAUGUCUAUGUUUUGAUACAAAGAUCUCAAAUUUACUUAAAACAAAAGAUCUCACACCAAUACAUUGAAUCCAACAUACAUCUUUCAAAUUUGCAGCCUCUCUCAGAUUCAGUGUCUUGUUUUUUUGUCCACUGAUAUAUAAUCCAUAAUAAACUAAAGUAAAAUCAUAAUACACAAUUAUUUGCAACUUGCUAAUCUUUCUUCUAAUUAUUGCCUUCAAUUCUAUACUUGACAUCUUAAUUAUAUAAUUAUAUCGCCUUUCUCUCUACUUUGUCUUUUAUUAAUGCCAGUGAAGGUGACAUGCAUUUAUUUAACUGAUUAAAGUGAUGCUUUACUUUUCUUGUAUCCCUUUACCUUAUUUCACACUUGCUUUUACAUUUUUAUAAAUCUUCUUCUUUUGCUUUAAAUCAAUAGUUACAAAUGAGUUAGUUGUGCUUAAUUAUUUAGUUUGGGUUAAUGGAACAUGAGUUGGCUUCUCAUGAUUGCUCUUCUGUUUUUACAAAAAUGGGUUUGAGAGAAGUUGAUGGAUGAAUUAUUAUAAUUAAUUCGGUUUUUUAAUUUUAGUUUAAAGAAUAAUUAUAUACUUUGACCUCUAAAUUUUGUCUCUUCCGGAGUUACUACAUCUCUAAUAACUCAACGUAUGUAAUCCUUACCUACGUAUGUGUUCAUAUAUACAAAAACUUACUCCUUCCUCUCUUCUUCGUAAUAUCAUUUUUCUUAAUUAAGGGACUUUAUCUAAAUUGUAGACAAAAGGUGGAUGGGUAAGGGAUAACGAGUAAUUAUGGUACAGGCAGUUGAAGGGGUUGAGUUAGGAAUUUUAGGAGUCAUAUCUAUGUUUUCUUGGAUAUGUUUUAGUAUAUCAAUGUAUUUUGGAUGUUUGUUCUUUUACCUAUAAUUUAAAAAAUGAAUCCAAAAUUUGAAAACUAAAAAUAAAUACGGUAAUGGUUACGUGCAAUUAAAUUGUUAAUUUUGUUUAAAUUCAUAUUCUAAAUUUAAUACAUGAAUUUUGUAAAUUUGAAAAAAUAAAAUAAAUAAUAUUUAAAUUUAAAUUAAUUAACUAUACAUAAAAAAAGAAUUGAGAUGGAUUGAGGUAGGAAGGAUUGGAGAAAUUAAGGAAAGAUUGAAGAAAUUGGGGAAGAAGUAAAGAGUUAUAUAACCCUUUCUCCCUAUCAUUUUCCCUCCUCAAUGUUUCCAAAUCUGUGGGACAACUUCGAUUUUAAAAAAGAAAGGUUAUGGAGCAUUAAUUGAUAGUGAUAAGACUUGGUUGAGGUCGUAUCAAAUUAAAGAAGAAGAAGAAGAAAAAGAAAUGGUUAAGGUUAAAUGAAUGGGAGGAGAAAGCCACCGAUAGUGGCGGGGCAGCCUUUUAAGUUUAGCUUAUGGUACCCCCAACCCAUCAUGAUUUAUCAUUAAUUAAAGCCUUUUCUUUUUCUAGUGGAAGCCAUAUGAGCACGUUUUUCUUCUUCUUCUCCUUUUUCUUUUUCCCUACUACAUUUCUCCUGUGAUUAACAAUUUCGUUUAUUAGUGUCACUUUAUUUCAAAUCUCCAAAUUGCCCUUCCUCUUCUUACCCCACCUCACUACUACUACUCCCAACUCCCACCCCAUUUCAAACUUUCAAUUCUGACCUUUUCCCUUUCACUAUUCAAUUCAAUUCAAUUAUUUAUUUUCCUUCCGGCUCAAGCCAAUAUUUGAUUCAUAUUAUAACUUUACAAUAUAAUUCUAUAUUUAAAAUUGAUGGUUUUAUGUCAUAUUACAUAUUUGACUUCCAUUAUUUUGAUAAAAAUUGGAAUGAGUUUUCUAGCUUGCUUGCUUGCAAAUCAAGUAGUUUGAAUAAGAACCUGAAUUUGACCUUAUCUCUAUGGAAGUGGGAAAUGACGUCACUGGCUCUACUUAAGAGAAAAGGUCAAAUUUGUAAUUGAGGACUGAUUUUGAUUUGAAAUUUGACUAAGACAGCGGUGGGGUGAAAAGCUCUGAUUGAUAUAGAAAGCAAACGGGAAACGAAAAACAAGACGCCAGUUAGGCAGGGUCAAGAUCGUCAACUUCUACUACGGCGUUUCCCUCAUCUUAACCUUCUCGUUUUAUAUAUAUAUAUACCAAUUACCAACAAGCUCUAACCAUAACUUCAACAAUCAUCUUCUUCUUCUUUCUCUCACUAUUUCAGAAACUCAGAUGGCGGGUACACGGAUCAACGCAAUCAACCAUGGAAAUUUGUCGAGGAAAUGUUCGGACCGUCUGAUUCCAAAACGGGGUCAAGUGAAAUUGGGAAUCAUAGUGGGUAUUGCUCACUCAGUGACUUCGAUAUUCUCUCACGGCAGCCGGAAAUGACUGUGGUGGCCGAGGAAGAGAACGGGUUCAGUUAAUUGGGAUCGUUGACUUGGUUUUUUUUUAAAAUCGACGGUCCUGAUUUUCCGAGAGUGAGCGGUUCAAAUUUUAUCGAACGUCACAGAUUUAGACGCUGAGAUCUUCCGAAUUGUUAAUUGAAAGAUGAGGAAGAACCCGAGGUGGCCUUUUUUGUGUAUGUGUGUGUAACUUUUUCUCUUUUUUUUUUCUUGUUUUAAAGAAGUUGUUCAUUUUAUGGUUUGUGAUGGUGUCUGUAAAUUAGCAAAAUUGCUUAAUUUACUGUAAAAUAAUCAUAAUAAUAAUUUACUUUCCUGAUUACUGGUUGUGUUUAAUUCAAUUACGUAUGAAAUUUUAGUUAAUGUAGUAAUAUAAAUGAACUGUUUGAGGAAAUACUUGAUUGUAAUGCUUAAUAAUUUCAAAAGAAGGAAAAAAAAUGGGUUGAAGAGAUAAGAAAUAUAGUGAGAAAAAGACAAAAUGUGACAAGUUGGAUGCGAAUCUUUGAGUGUUGGAACAAAAUCCAUCACUCUGUCAAAUAGAAAUAUAAAAAUAGUUUAGAAAGAUUGUUUGUAAGGGUAGGGCUCAGCUCAGUGCAUUGGAUUGAAUUCAGCAAAGACGUAUUCAAAUUCAAUGUCUCCAUUGUGUUAUAAUAUUUACCAUCGCCCCCACAAUUACAAAUUUGCUGUCUUACUCUACCAUUUUUUUAAAACCUCUUUCCUUUCUAUGUAUAUAAUAAUCAAAUGUUGGUCUAAUUUUUUUUAAUUGUUGUCAGAGUUUUGAACUUGGUUUAAUUUUUCUCUCUAUAUUUCAAAAUUUGAAGUUUAUCAUAUACUCUUUUCAAUUUAGUUUCUCAAAAAAAAUUAAGAAACAAAUUUGACGUUGGUUUUCAAAUACCUAUUAAAUACAAAACCAAAAGUUCAGAAUUUUUAUUUUUUAAAAAAUUAUAAACCCACAAACUUUAAUUAUACUUCCCAAGUGGUUAUUUAAUUUAAGAAAUAUUAAAAAAUAUAUAUAUAUUUAAACGUAUACUAAUCAAUUCCUAAUGUAUUCAAUACAAAUCUAAAAGAUAAAUCAACAGUAGUAUUGUUAGGAAAGUAGAGUAGCAAAAUUAGAUAACGAAGAAAAGCUGUUCAAUAAAUUAAACGAACAAAUUGGACCCAUUUCUCAAAUUCGGUAGCAUAUAAUAUCACAUUUCUAAACACAUAAGAAAAAACAAAAAAGCUACUUUCCUAAAUUAUAAAAAAUUAGAGAACGAACAUUCAGAAAUUAAAUCUGGAAUCUCAUCUCCCACAAAAUAAGAUGAACUGAAUUUUUUAAAAAAAAAAUUGUAUAAAAAAGAAGAGAGGUUCUAGAAGAAAUUUGUGGAAGUAUGAUCCACAUAAUUAAUAUUAAUAAAUGAAUGGGACCUUCACCUUCAGUAAAAUUAAUAUAAUAUCGAAAAAUUAUAUUCGAUAAAAAUAAAAUACAAUGAACCUUCUCCUUCUCCUCCUCCCUCCCCCAUUCCAAUUCCGCAACCACAAUACCCCGUCGCCGGUGCCUCAGUUGUUAAAUAAUAAAUAAAAUCGCUGGCUAAGAGGUGCCAUAUGGUUCAGGUGAACCGAGCCCACAUGCCCACUUUCUUCUAUGUGUAUUUUUAAUUAGGAGUUGAUUGAUUUCGAACACGUUUUUCAUUUUAUUUUCGUCAAUGGAUUUGAAAGCAUAAAACUCCAUCUACAUCUUCUUUUUAAAUUACUCAUGGCGUUUGCCUUUAUCUUGUUCCCCACGGUCGAAUCGAAUCCCAUUUUAUUUUUCCAAUUUACCAAAAACACCCUUCUCCUUUAGAGAAAUUCUCAAAAUCAUGCCCCCCCUUUGCGUGGAGAAAGUGGUAAUUUUGACAAAAAUAUAAAAUGCAAGAGACAGCUGUUAUGCAAAAGCCAAGGGCCACCUACUAGCAAUUUUUAAAAUAUGAGCCAUGGGCAGUGUAUUAGUAGUAAGCAAUUUCAUCAUCAAAUUAAAGCAAGUGCUUAUCUUCAAAUAAAUUAUUAAACUUUAAAUUUUGAGUUUGGAUCUCUAUUUAAGUCCACCUCAUCUAGCCUUUCAAAGCAACCAAAACUUCUGCACUAACAACAAUUUUUCCUUUUGCUUGCUCCUAAACUGAUACCUCUGGAAGAUGGGUGAAGAAGCUAAGAUGAUGAACAACAUCAACGGUCAGAGAAUGGGAAGGAGAAUUUCUGGGCGUUUGAUCCCAAAGAGAGGGCAAGUGAAGAUGGGAAUCAUGGUGGGGUUGGCUCAAACUGUCACUUCUAUCUUCUCUUACAGUCACAGUACUCAACGACAACAUUGUACAUCUAGAUAGAUACAAACAUAUGUAGCUUCUAUGUAAUUUUGAGGUUGAAGAGAUUAAGGUUGUAAAUUUGUAGUGAUAUCAAUGUCAAUUUAUAGCUUUUCAACUAUUCCUUGUGAUUCUUCAACUUUUCUCUAUCCUAAAACUUUUCUCUAUGAAUUGGGGGAGAAACACCAAAAAUGAAAGAAUCAAAUCUGUAUAAUUCUAAGAAAUGAGCAACAGAAAAAAGACGAAAAACUCAAAAAAUUUCGUGGUUAUUGGUGAAGUUUAACCGAUCCGGGAGUUGUCUCUGCCGAAAACAAGAGUGGUAGCCCAGUUGACAGCCACAUAAAACCUGUUUCUCCAGCUGAUUACACGAGUCAGAUAUGCAGAUCGCCAUAUGAGCCAACUCAAGAACCCUGCUAGUGAUAUGCCUUUUGCAUCCUGUUAAUACCCACAAUUCAAAAACAUUUCAUGACCCCAAAGUUAAAGAUAUUUGAAUCAAUCAAGAUUGAUUGUUUUUUUCUAUUUACCUUGGACUGGCGUAGAUCGACAAGAGCCUUGUAACGACCAACUGAUGCCAUGCUUCCCAGAUGUUUAUACACAAAAGGGUCACCUAAAGGAAUGUCUUUUGCACUCAAAGCCUUGCCUCCAUUCUCUUUUCCAAUUCUAUUGAACAGUUCUACAAGAUACUUCCCUUCCCUCUCUGCAACCUGUUUCAUAAAGUUUUUGAAGAAGUUGGUAUUGAUGGUAUAGUUAUUUGACUCAGAAAUCUCAUGAACUUUGGUAUAAAAUAAAUGUUAUGUGAAGGUUGCAUUUCUUCUAGCCUACCUGAGCUAGAGCAGGAAGAACUGGUUUUCCUGUUUGUUCAAGAAAACCGGCACAAUCCCCAAGUGCAAAAACAUCUUCCACAGAAGGAACUCGCAUCCAUCCAUCCACACCAAUCCUGAGUCACACAGCAAACCAUUGUAGACAGUCUUGAAGAGAAUAGUGGUUAUUAGAUUCUCAAGGUUAUUAUAGAUAUAUACCUUCCACCAGGGGCCUUUGGAAGAUGGAGUGAUUUAACAAAUUCAGAGGGGCCAACGCCUGUAGACCAGACCAAGAGGCCAUACGGAACAUCAGUACCAUCACUCAGAAUUAUCUUAUCGGCAAGCACUUCCUUCACAACACCUCGCAUCAGCCGAACGCCACACUACCGAGCAAAACAGAGAAUUUCUUUAAGAAACAGAUUCUAUGCAGAAAACUAGUCAGAGGGUUUGAUGCUAGACUGUACUACCUUGGUCAGGUGCUUUGCUGCAUAGGUUCGCAGCCCGAAGUCAAAGGAGGACAGAAUCUCAUUUGCCUGUUUAUAAAAGGAAGUGUCAAAACCAACACAAAAAUAGAAUGUUGUAUCAUCUUCUUAGCAAUGUUGUUUGAUCUGAAGUUUGAAAGAAUGGUACCUCAAUCAGUGUAACUUUAAUGUCGUCUUUAAUGUGAGCAUAGCGAUCUUGAACAUCCCUUAUGAUGAAAUCGCUCAAUUCGCCGCUAAACUCAACGCCUGUCGGUCCGCCUCCAAUCACCACGCAGUGGAGAAGGCGUUUCUUUUCUUCUUCUGAUAGACCUGCAGUAUACGGUAGCAUCUAAAGUUAAAAAUCAUCAGAUGUAUGAAAGAUUGAAUUCCAUUGUCAAACAGAAUUUCCAUCUAUUUUUUUCAGCAUGGGGACUUCUGAUGACAAGGAGGGCCGAGCUAACCUGGAUUUUCAGAGAGCAUUAGAUUUAAAAGAAGCUUUUUCCUAAUUUCUUGAGCAUGAUUUACUUCACGGAGGAAAAAGGCGUGUUCUUUGACUCCCUUGACACCAAAAGUCAAGGGCUCAGAUCCAACAGCAAUCACAAGCUUGUCAUAAGCAACUCUAAAUUGGUAAGUCUCGUGAGGGAGUUCACCAUAGUUAACAGUCUCACAGAACACCUGGUCAAAGAAUGAAAGAAACGAUUAUGUCAUUUUGGAAAUGAAAGAUAACAACACAGAUCCAUUCAGCAUUAAGUCAAAUGCUUUCAACUUUUGUUUUAUUUUUGAAAAUACAUAUUUCGGACUCCUAGAAUAGAAGUCAUCUAACCCUUCCUAGAAGCAACUAUUUCCGGAAAGGAAUCCAUUUUAGUACUUAUAAGCGGUUGAUAACCCGUAACUCAGUAAAACAGAUAUUUUAUUCACAAUUCAUACAAAUUAGAAAGGUAUUCAGUUAGGAUAACAGAACAAUGAUGCAUCUGGGACCGAGUAGUAAUUGCAUUAUCUAUACUAAGUUUAAUAGGCAUUAAUAACAUAAAAGGAAUGCAUGCAACUGAUAGAAAAACAAAAUGAACUACCCACAAGAUUCACUAACCUCGUGUUUAUCUGUAUCAACACCGGUGCAAGAAGCCAGAUAAAAGUAUGAAUUGGGAUCCUUUGCUAAGGCAGUUUGUAUUCUACUGACAGGCUCAGCUACAGAGCGAAAUUCCAAGGUUCCAACACAAGUUGAGGCCAGAAGAGGAGUAAAGACCAUGUGAUUUCUAGGUGAUAUGCAGACAACAUCAUAAACCUUUGUAUCAAUUCCCUUUAGGAAACGACAUGCAGCCCAGCCAGUGCCAAGGACAACCACCCUUGGCUUUUCCCCUGGCUUGGUUGCUUCAAGUCCAGGCCCAAAAGAUGGCUCAUCACUCUCUAAAUCAGAUUCUUCUACAAGUCUUUCAGCUGAUGGGAAUUGGCGCUGUGGCGUUAUACUUAUUCCCCUGCUCCAAAAACUCACGUGAUUCACUCUUUCAAUGUGAGGAAGGUUCAAGAAAAAGCCAUUUGUAGUGGUAUUGUUGAAGCUUCUAUAUGUUGAUGCUCCUUGGGAAUAUGAAUCCUUCUGGUGUGAAUGCUUAUUGAAUGCGCUACCUGAUCUUCUCAGUCCAUUCCUGGCAAUCCUUGAUAAAACCAUCUUGACAACAAGAUUUGAUAAUGCCUUUUCCCGUUCUAUUGGAUGCCAAAUUCAGUAAUCCUAGUCUGCUGCAACUGAAAAUAUAAGAAUGAGCAAAAAUAUCAUGAGACUAAAAACUAGAUUUCACCACGACAUGACAAGAAAACAAAAGACAACUUUGCUCAAGUCAUCAAAUGGUGGCAGAUACUAAUGGCAGUCUCUUACAUGUCCAAUUAACCAAGGAAUUAAAAAGACAACAAAAACUCCCAUCAUUCAAAGCCUCAUCAGUAACGAACUCCUAACAUUUACUUUUCCUUUGGGAAACAGAAAACCCAACAAUUGUAACUACCAUCCGUAGAAGACCCAUUCAGCUUUGUCGUUGUUCUUCUAGGUAGGUUCGGGAGUAAUUUUAAAAUACUUUUGUACAGUAUACUUAAAUCCAAUCAUUCAAAAUGAAUUUAAUAUUUAAUUUCGUUAACAAAACUGAUUUUGAACGAUAAAGACAUGUCUUGUUUGUAACAUUCUAUAAUAAUUUAGUCCUUAUUUUUUAUUGUCACUACGUGUUAGAGCAUUGAUACUGAAUCUUUCAUCUUAGGCCUUAGGAUUACAAUAAUGAUAUGUACGUAAAAAAUAUUGAAGAAUUAAACUAUUUUAUUCAGCGCGCGCAAUAGACUGCAACCAACUAAAGAGCAUUACUUAUCUAUUAAUAAUACAACACAUCUAGAAAAAAUGGGAAAAGUUCUUAAAACCAUGCUAUCCCCACGCCAAUAAUGAAACAUAUAUGCAUCCAAUGAAAUCUAUAUAGACAAUGGAAGCAUCUUCAAAACCAUUGAAACCAUAGAUUUCAACCAUUUACAGAAUUAAAAUGACGGCAUCCCAUCUAAGAUCCAAUAUUCAAGCUCCUGUAAUAUCAUUUCUUAAUUGAUUUACUCUCUACAAAUUUGUAAGGCACAAAAGAAACUCAUGGGCAGCAAUAACAACCCUUGAAAAUUGAGCAUUAUAACAAACACAUGCAGCCACUUCCCAACAGAUCUACAAAAGGAGUUACCACGUAACCCUUUCAUACAAACACAUUUCCAUAAUGAAAUCAAGGGCAAAAUAUAUGUAACUUGUAAAGCAUGGAAGAACAAGACAAUGUGUGAAAAUGAAAAUGAAAAUGAUGGGUUAGUCAGUAAAAUGCAAAUAAAAUAAUCAGAAAAGGAGGAAAUGUAGGAAGAAGAGAAACAAAAAAGAUCACUUUUUUUCUUUCUCCUUAUUCUUCUGAUGGUGUUAUGAAGGGAAGACGGCGAGCAAAUCCCAGAAGAGUGGAGAGAUUUAAUAAGAAGAAACUGAUUUGGGGGGGUUUUUAAUUUAGAUCUUAUGUAAGGAAAGUAGCAAUGGACGUGUGUUACAUGGGUGCAAAAGACAGAGAGGGGUACGAAAGAAACGUCAACAUUCCAGAGUACUUGGGGUGCAAGUAAGUCAAAAAAAAUGCUUUGCUUUUGUCAUUAUUUCAUUUAUCACAUUUUGGAUUCUCCAAUUUUGGAAAUGGGUAGAGAAAUUUAAGGACUUUCCUGGAAAGUAGACUGAAUAAGAUGAAGAGGCUGCUUCUUUCACAGUCUCGUUUGUUGAACGACACCGUUGUGGAAAUGUUGUUACUUUUUCCCAUUUGAGGAGGAACCGUUAAAAAGUUUUCAACUUUUGUGUUUAAUACAUAUUCAAAUGAGAACUUCUUUUUUAUAAUACCAAAAUAAAUUAAAAUAUUUAGUCGUAAAAAAAUUUAAAUUCUAUUAAUAGAUUUGUACAUAUCAUUUAAAAAAUUUCCUUUCCCAACAACGUUUCAUUUUCUAUAAAAAUAGGACAAUAAAUUUAUUAUGCAUUCUUCCUUCUUUUUGUUUUAAGGGUUUUUUUAGUUAGUAAAGAAGAUUUUGGAGGUGAAAAUUUUGAUUUUAAUAAUUUCAAAUUAAUAUUAAAUAAUCAUUAAAUACAAUGAAUUAAGGAAAGUUUGAAAAAAAUAGUAUAAAAAUUAUUAUAAUAGACUAUAUUUUUUAAAUUGUAAAAAUAGCAAAUUUAAAAGUAAAAUAAAAAAUGUUAUCCAAUAUAACCUUCUUUUUCGUAUUUAAUGGGUUGUCGAGGUGAAAAAUGUUAGAUUUGUAUAAAUCUUCCUAGAUGCAAAUAAAUAAACAAGUUUAGGAAAUUUUAGAUACAAAAUCCAUUUUUUUUUGUAAGCUCUAACAAAUGUAUGCAUUAAGUUCAUAAGUUCAUGUAUAACGUAAUAAAUAACUUGAUGUGAUAGUAAUAAAUUUUAACGGAUGGAUCAAUGGUUAACAAGUUUGAAUCAUGAAUGUAAUUGGACUUGGUUUUGGUAGGUUACACAAAAUUAUCAAUUUUCACAUGUUUGCUAUUACCAUUAAUGAUAAGGGAAUGUAAUAUCGACCAAAAUUGUGAUAUGUUGGUAUCAUAAUUUUAUGGGCAAAUUCAAAAUUGGUUUAACAAUGACUUUGACUUCCGUUUCAAAGGGGAUUUCUUUUUUUUCCAUCUCUGACGACGCAACAACAAUGCCAUACAUCAAAUUCCUUUGGAAAAAAUGUCAUUUAAAGUAAAAUUUCCAUCUUCUUGCGAUUAUGUAGCAAUUCAAAGAUGCCAUCUUUACCAUUACAGACCACUGUUUUAACUACUUAAGUACACCAGUUAGAUCAAAAAUUCAUUCUAUUGGUUUUUUGACCUUUCGCUUUCAAAUUUAAAAGGAAAAAAAAAAGGAAUUGAUUCCAUUAAGACUGCUUGAAAAUCACUAUCAUACAAUACAGGAUGUUAGACUCAGGUCUUUGAGUUUGACCCUUCUUUAAUCUCCUAUGAAAUUCUCAUAAAACAUGGUUUCUAGAUUGAAUGUGUGAUGAUGGCAGUUGACAAUACUACUCUUGCAGGUAAAAGAUGAACCAUACUUGCACCCUUGUUGCAACUUGUAAGUGGAAGUUUCCAAUAUACAGUGUACAAACGAGCCCUCCACAAGAAAUAAUUAUCGUCACUUGUGUGGUUAAAACUACAUUAUUUAACGUGGAUUUGGAAAUUUGUUUGUUUUCUAACAACUAUUGAUAUAAGGUCGAGAUGCUAUUAAAGUGAUCUCUCUCAAAUAUCUAACAAUGAUUGUAUGAGAUAAGAUAUUCAAAAUAUUCAUCCAUGUACUAUGUUUUUUCUGCAUUAAUUAAUUGAGGUGAUUUCUGAUUUUUUUUUUUAAUAAUAGAUCGGUCUGCUUUUGGCUUUGAGAGUGACAUUUAAUCAUAGCAUGUUCUACUUGAUGCGUAGUAGAUUUACCUCACUAUAGUCUUUCUAAUCAUUUGCUAAUUUCCUUGUCUUGGAGAGUCCAACUACAGUCAAACAAUGAAGGCCAUUGUGAUUAGUGAACCGGGGGAAGCGGACGUUCUUGAAUUACAGGAGGUUGAUGAUCCAAUAAUCAAGGACGAUGAAGUUCUGAUCAAGGUUGUAGCCACUGCCCUGAACCAGGCCGACACGGUUCAGAGGAAAGGCUCUUAUCCCCCUCCAAAAGGCGCCAGUCCCUACCUCGGCCUCGAAUGCUCUGGGAUUAUCGAAGCUGUUGGCGUAAACGUCUCCUGCUGGAAUAUUGGCGAUCAGGUAAUUCAUGGGCUUUCAUGGAAAUUCAUUUCUACUUCAUCUUAUUUCACUCUUCUCCAUUUCUUUUGGAUCUUUUCUUGCUCUUAUUUAUUGUUAUAUCACUACAGAAGGGUUAAAGUUUUCAUGGGCUUUGUGUAAUUCUGUUAAGCCCGUUUCUUCUUAUGCUUAAUGUUGUGGUUAUAACAAUUUUACUCUACUUGUUUGAGGACUCUAAACGUUAUUUAAUUAUCUUUUUUGGGUAGGGAACAAUUCCUACUAUACUAUAUGCUUUAAGGAAUUUAAAUUACUAGCAUCUGUAGCACAGGUAUGUGCUAUUCUUGCUGGAGGCGGAUAUGCUGAGAAAGUGGCUGCCCCAGCUGGACAACUACUUCCAAUUCCACCCGGUGUUUCAUUGAAGGAUGCUGCUAGUCUUCCGGAGGUGGCUUGCACCGUUUGGUCGACUGUGUUUAUGACGAGUCGAUUAUCGAGAGGAGAAACAUUGUUGGUAUGAUUUUGGAUAACUCCAUUUUGGUUUUAACUUUACUUGGGUAAGCUACAAAAGACUGAAAGGAAAAUGAGAGAGAGAAAAGGAAUGUUAUUUUCUUUAGUAGGUAUGUUGAUUAACAUGAAGUCGGUUAUAAUCACAAUUGAAUUCAUUUUUUCAUUGCCAUCAUGAAUGAAACGGUAUUCAAAUUUCAGGUUCAUGGAGGCUCUAGUGGAAUUGGUACUUUUGCCAUUCAGAUAGCUAAAUACCAAGGAGCAAGAGUAUUCAUUACUGCAGGUUUAGUGAUUACUUUGGUCUUCUAAUUGUUCAAUCCUGAGUUUGUCCUGAUGUUUUUUAAUCUUCUUCGCCAGGAAGUGACGAGAAAUUAGCUAUCUGUAAAGAACUUGGAGCAGACGUGUGCAUCAAUUACAAAACUGAAGAUUUUGUUGCAAGAGUGAAAGAAGAAACAGAUGGAAAAGGUUGUUCUUUAGUAUCUCUAUUAUAACUGUUCAAUGUUUCAAGGUUCCAUUUCCUGAAAAUGCUUGUUCUUUUCUAAUAUUGUAGCACUGAAAAUGAAUGUGAUAUUCUAUACCGUGACAGGUGUGGAUGUUAUUCUCGAUAGUAUUGGAGCCCCUUACUUUCAGCGAAAUCUUGAAAGCUUAAACUUUGAUGGUAGGCUUUUUAGUAUUGGAAGCACGGGGGGAGACGUAACACAGCUAGAUUUUCGCAGUUUGUUUGCGAAACGCCUUACUGUGCAGGGUAAGGUCAUUUUAAAUGAGAUUUGUCGAAAUAAUUUGCAGUCUGAGCGUCUAUCCAAGAAGCUUUCAUUCAUUCCACCCAAAUCAAAAACCCAUUCUACUGUUUAGAAAUUUUAAGAGUUCAAAUGAGUCGAAACUCAAAAGUAUGCAAAUGUCAAAUAAAUGUAGUAAACGUUAUAGUAGCAAUCGAUAUAUCCUUAUCCUUUUUGCACCAUUCUGUACUUUUUAGAUGAUUAAGAUACUAUACUACUUAAAUAAGCAUCUACUUCUCUAUUGCCACACUCACAAUGUUUUCUUUAAUUUUUCACAUAUUACAUAUCAUAUUAAGACGAAAGUGAAACAUUUUAAGAAAAGAAAAGAUUCCCCUUCUUGAAUUCUUGAAAGUUUCCACUUUUCCUCCAACUUUUAAUCUGCACACGAGAUCUUACGAUAACUUUUAUUUCUCGAAUGCUGCACAUCUGGUCAUUACAAGGAAAGACUUUCUCCAUUUUUGAAGCAUGGGUCCUUUUCUCCAAUCCUCAAUCCUAUUUGGUACUUAUCUUUCAAUGAAGAAAUAUCAGGUUGUCAAGGACAACUCACUUUCAUGUAUCUUCACAAUGAUAUGAUUUUAUUUUCAUUCAUUUUUGGUUUAAACCCACGUGAUUUUCUUGCUUUUGAUUUCAUUCAAAAGGCCUCGUACCAAUAGAUAUAAUUAUGCUUCUGUAUUCAUGAUCAUUCUCUUCUCUAACCAAUGUUAGACUUUGUUUGUGUCUAACAUAUGUAUCAUGUACACAGCGGCUGGCUUGCGAAACCGGUCUCCUGAAAACAAAGCAGUCAUUGUAAGUGAAGUUGAGAAGAUAGUUUGGCCAGCCAUUGCAGCAGGCAAGGUGAAGCCUGUGAUCUUCAAGUAUCUACCACUGUCAAGAGCAGCAGAAGCCCACAAGCUGAUGGAGAGCAGCAAUCAUAUUGGAAAGAUACUGCUGAUUCCAUGAUGGACGUGGAUUGUCAAAAGACGAAGGUAAAACGUGAUUGGUGAUUAACUUUUGAUUGAAGUUUAAUUUGAACUUGGUAGGUUCUGGCUUUACUGUUCCCUGUGAGACCCCCCCUAUAAUAAUACAUACUGAUGCUGGAAAGGGCAAAAAGGGAUGUCAUAAGAGAGGUAUUUAUUGGAUUGUGUUUGUGUGGGCUUGUACAUACAUAGAUACAUACACAUUGUUUGAGAAUAAGGGUUUUUUUAUGGUGAUCGGUGGGAACUCUGUUUGGGGUGUUGAAUUUUGUGGUGAGCAAAGUAUAGAGAGUUUUCUAGCACUCUCAAAGGAGCUAGUACUGCUAAUGCUAGGCUACGUUUUUCCUUGAUUUGUGGUUCUUGUUGAACUCUUGUAUUGAGAAUUUUGUAUGUAUUGCAUAGCACUGGAUAUUGAAGAACUAUCAAUACCACAGUGCUUUGGCAACAUAUUUGUGUUGUUUGGGUGUUUUCUUGUCACUUGCCAAAUUAUUAAAACCGGAUACUAACAUAGGCCUUCCAAAUUUGGCAGUAACAAAACAAUAUAAUGCAUUGUACUAUGUGUAUGACUUCGGGGUUGCAUUACUGGAGGACGUCAAUCAAUGAGGCGGUCAGAUGAAGGAGAAGGCAAUUUUGAGAUUAAGAAAGACAUUUGUAAUUUAACUCUAAUUAAGGAGAUUUUUUUUCUUUUGAGGACGUAGAUGAUGUGGUCUUCUUCAAUAACAUAUGUGACACAAUCAUGUUGCAUCAUGCACAACCGAACUUGCUAGUAUGGUAUCCUCGGCUAUAAAAUGAACAAUUAGUUAACAUCAUCACACCAUCUAGAUAAUUUUAUUUCAUAUGAUAUUAAAAUUUGUAUUUUUUUUUUUAAUUAAAGGUAACAGAGAGGAUGGUUGAUUUAAAUCAUUGAAGUUAACAUAAUUCAUUUUGGAAUCCUUCGAAAUCACGAAGUUAACGCUAACCAUAAGGCUAUGUCUCAGUCUUAAUUAAUGCGACUUCUAUUAUGGGUUCAUCUGUCUUCUAACUUCAAAACGAUUCAAAUUACAGAGAAAUGAAAUGAAUCAAUUUCAAUUUCCUAACUACUUAGCAACCCACGGCAACAAUCGAUUAAAUAUAAUUUAUAAUCUAAAAAGAUGUUAUUUUCUACCAUAAAACCCCAAGAAUACAAACGGGGUGUUUUUCAUAUUUCCUUCAAAAAUUCAUCGAUUCUAAAACAACUCUGCUUUACAUUACAAAAAAACUAUUAUGCUUUUUUUUGCCGUUUUAUUCUCUCAAGCGCACCAAGGUGGCUGUCAUCAUCCUUUUCUCCGUCCACCUCGUCGGAAUCUUCCUUCUUUCGAGUAAGGCCUCCGAAAACUGCAGAGGGAACUUCUUUUUGAGCAAUUUCAACGUUCUCAUCUUCUUCUGAGUCACUUUCAUCAGGUAACUCAAUGUCUUCUUGAUGAGCAGUAACCUUCAGUUCUCCAUCAGCCUGUGAUUCAACUCCAGCACUCACAAAACCAACUUUGCGGCCGUUAUCUUUGGCUGUGUCUUCAAUUGCAGGGGCCAACUGCCUCUCUAGAGCAGCCAUCUCGUCUUCUGUAACCCCAGCCUGCUUCAAUUUAUCUUUUGCCUCGUCAAGGUUCAUCGUCUGAUCCUUUUGCAUUAGAUACUCGGGCAGAAUAAAAUGUGUCUGAAGAACAUAAAGAAGGUAAAAUGUGUAAGAUGAGUAUUCCAAACAAUUAAACAAAAUAAUUAACUAAGUGUUCAAGAAGGCAAAAACAUGGUUACAAAUCACUAUUUGUCCCUAAACUUUCAUCAAAAUAACAAUUUAGUCCUCAAACUUGGUAAGGAUCAUGUCCCAACGCAUUUUCCUCCUGCACUUCCGUUAACAGUCACUUCCCUAUCAUUUGCGUCCCCUCUUAUUUCAAAACUCUUCGGUUUUGAUUUCAAUUUCAUAGAAGUUGGAAUGAAAGGACGAGAUGAUGGUCCAGCAGUGGAGGAGAUUUUUAUGGGCCGCGUGUUUUAACUUUUUCGUUUUUUGUGGGAGAAAGCAGAGCUUUGUGAAAACUUAGCCAACAAUCACCUUGAAGUGGUGGUGAGAUAUGGAUGAUGAUAAUCUCCUCCUUAGCUCAUCAAAAUUGGGGAUUAUACAGUGAAAGGUAGAGGCUCUAUAGUCUAUAGUGUAAUCAAUGUUUUAAAAGGCUUAAGACCGCCUUGAGGCGUUUGCUCGUAGAGAGGCAAGGUGCAAUGAGACGUAAGCCUCGUUUAAAUGCAAUAAUAAUAAUAAUCAUAAAAUGUAUAACAUUGUAUGCUUACUACUGUAGUGCCACAAUGUAAAACCACAUUUUUUAUAAAAAAAAUUCAAAUUAGAAACGAUACCAAGAACAGAGGGAAAUAAAUAAAUACUAUAAAAAAUAGGGGGGAAAUCUAAUCUUAAAGUAUAAAAUAGGAGAUACAAGGUUUAAAGUAGCUACAGUACCAGAGAAAAGAUAAGAUUAAGGAAGAGAAAAAAUUAUUAUUUUGUCUGGGCUGUGAUAAUGAACAAAAAAAAGACCAGGAACCAUUACAAAAAACAAAAAAAAAAAAGGAAAACGUUGGAUAAGUAGUAGGAAAAAGAAAACUCUUUUUCUUAUGGAAUAGAAAGAUAACUUGUUUUCCAUCUGCCAUUAUUUUUUUAUCCAAGUGAAAACAAUCAAAGUUCACACAUGUCAAAACAUUUAAGCCUACAAAAUAUUUUUUUUUUCACCACCGCCAACAUCCCCUCACAUUUUUUUUUUAAAUUUCUUUUACCCACUUCUCACCGAGGCUUACGCCUUAAAGGCAGAGCUCCGAGGCUUACACCUCUGUCCAUAAAGGUGUAAGCCUCCUUUUACCACAAGCGUAAGCCUUGAGGCAUAACAAGGCCACCUCGCCUCAAGGCCUGCCUCAAACAAUUUUGAAAACAUUGAGUGCAAUAGUUUUCCAAAUCUUUCUAUCUCCUCUCAGGUGAAGAAAGCUAAAAACUUCUCCGCAGAUUUCAAAGUUGUAUCUACGAACAACUCCAUGCCAAAUAGGCCUGUUUUCAUCUUCCCAAUCAAAAUAUUGAAGGAAACUUUUUGGUUGGAAACUACUGCUCCCAAACUUCAAAUUGGGAAAAACAAACCAAUAAUUGAAGAAUUUCAAAAAAAAAAAGAGAAGGAAAGAGAAAGUUAACAGCGCGCACAAGGAAGGUGGAAUUUUUAACCUAAUGACUAAAUUGUUACUAUUAUUUUUAGUAGUCAAAUAUCUAUGGUCCAACAAAUUCUCUUGACAAUGAAGCAAAACAAUAUCAUAACUGAACUAUACAGCCUAAGGCCAAUAUUUUUUUGAAACAGGGACGAACAUUUUCAUUUAUUAUUAAUAAAUGAGAUUUAAGCUCAAGCACAAGAGUGUUAUACUAAGAGCAGGAGAAGGGGAAAAAAAUCUAGCGAUGCAUGAAAUUGAGAUAGUUAACAAUAUCAAUUCCAGAUAUAUUGUAUCCUAAGAUCUGCUGGAAAAAAUCAACCAGGUCGGACAACAAAGUCCCAAAGGAGGAUUAAUUACUUGUCUCCAUGAGCAACAGUUCACUAUGGGAGGGAUACAUUAGAACUAGAAGUGAAUAAGAACAUACCUGGCUAUAGCUAGCAGAAACACUCCUUUUGAUACGAAGCAUCUCUCUAAAAGUAUCUUCAUUUCCAUGUUGCACCUCAAACUCAUGCCACUUAUUCCAAAAGUUCAAAUCUGAUCUAGGGUCUGCAAACUGUGAAGCAAAUACAUAUAUUCCACGAGCACGAUCAAUUUCUCCCAAACUCUUCUCCAGCUCCGCAUACUUCAAGCACAUAGUCUUCACAUCUUGAUCGGGAAGACCAGAUUCUAUUGCUUGUUCAUAGAUUUCUCUAGUUUUAGGAACACCAAAUAUCUCAGCUGCACGGGCAAUGUAUAUUUCAUACAUGCUCAAUUUCUCAUUAUUCGGAACAGCUUUAGUUGCCUGAUCAUAGACCUUCAUAGCUCGCUUUGCCAAACCAUGGUCUUCCUCGAGCUUUGCAUAUUGAAGAUACAAAGGCCUAACUGAAUCAGCGGGUGCCUGAAUGCACAAUCAAAAUAUAGAACCUUUAGCAUCAUCAGUUCCAUUGUAUUCCGUGAUGUGAAAAAAGAAUAAUCUCAACAUCAUUCAACUCAGAAACAAUGGCAAGGCCUUGAAUCAAACUUAAUGAAAAGAAAUGUUCUAAUUAAACAAGAAAUACUCGGAAGUAUAUACCAAACCUUUUUUAGAAGGGACUAAAGGUGAGGAAACGCUAGCUUUUAAGAUCCUAAAUGGUAACACUUAAGAACUACCCAAACGCAAAUUCUAACAACCAUUUUGUUAUUUCCAUAAACAGAAAAAGGGAACUUUAAGAAUCUAAAAUAUAUGCAGAAACACCAGAGAAUAUGGCACUCACUUGGAAUGGAAUAUAUAUGUGUGUGGGUGUGUGUGUGCACAAGUACUGCAAGAGCGGUAAUUAAAAUUUGUUUUUUCUCAUGAAUUUUUUAUAUUUAAAAAAAAAACUCCACAAUUUUUGCUUCAAAUAUAAACACAACAGACAUCAGUCUUUUCAGAACUUAUACUACAACUUCAUGUGCAUCAUGAAACUCUGGUACUUUCUUCAAACCAGUAACUUCAAAAAUAUCCAACUGUCAUGGAACAUUCAAAAGGCUUCACUUUUGUUUUCUAUUGCUAUCAAAUAGUUUUAGAUCAUUUUCAUUUCAGCAUAAUUAUAAUAACUCUUUUUUUUCUCUUCAAAAGAACCAAUUCCAUUGAUUCAAAGAAUGCAAGAGCUGGAGAAGAGAUUGAUUAUACAUACUGUUUCAACUGCAUGCUCAAAUAGUUCUCUUGCCCGCUCCAAUUUUGUCUUCCCAUAUCUUUUCACAAAUUUGGAUAGAUAUGUGACCCAUAUAUCUUUAACAUGAGGAUAUUUAAAAAUCUUGACGCCCCUUUCAUAUACCUUGAAUGCAUCUUCAAAGUACUUAUGUUCCUGACCAUGUCAAAAAAUAUGUCAAAAUCAUAUGAACUAAUCUUAAUCCAUCAACUGAAGAAAGGUAAUAUAAAAUGUCACAAGACAAAUUUAGCAUACCUCAAGAAGCAAAGCAUAGUUGAUUAUUAUUUGUGGGGUAGCAAUUCUUAAGUCAAGUAUUCGCUCAUAAACUGCCCGGGUAGACUCCAAGGUUCCAAGACUUUCUUCCAAAUCAACAUAAAAGGUCCAAAGUCUUAGGGACUUGUGCACCUUCAUCUGGACGGGUUCAUUCCCAUCAGCAGCCACUGCAAUUAUAAACAUAAACCAAUGAGAUUAUACUGUACUCCAUAAACCUUGAGCUCAUUUUUUUUUAUAUAAAAACAACUUUCAUUGAGAGAAAAAAAAUGAAAGAAUAAAAGGACAUACAAAAAAAAAAGCCCAACAAGAAAGAGCCCCACUAGAGGAAGGGGAUCCAACUAAAGAUUAAUGUUUUCUAACGAAUAGUUACUAAAAGAAGGGGAUCCAACCUUGAGCUCAUCUUAACGACAAACAUAGGUUUGUUGAAAUCAAUACUAUUUUACUGAGAAACAAACUAUUUAACUUACUGUUCAAAAUAUUCUACAAAAUAACCUCUAAUUUAACUCCUUGGUCUAUACAACCAAAAUGCUUGCGACUAAAUGCUAAGUAAGAUGCUUUAACACAAGAAAAACCUAGUGUACUGUUAACUGUAAAUGAGAGAACUAGUAAAGUAAAUAAACAUGAAUGCAGUUACUAAUGAGAAAGCUUUUUGAAGUUACCUUUUCGUUUGACUUCAACAGAUGGCUCUGCUGUAGCUCGACGCAUUAGCUCCAAAGCUCCUUUAAAAUUUUUAUGCCUCAAUUCCAUUUCCGCCCAUUCACACCAAAUGCUAGCCAAGUUAUCCACAGUCUUGUAGUUAACUUGUACAGCUUUGUCAAAAAUAACUCUUGCAUUUGGAAGAUCUUUGUGUGCUUCAUACAACUUGGCAAAAGCAACCCACAAGGUGUGAGGCUUACCCACUGCUUUCAUGGGGUCCACUGUUCUCACAGCCUCAGUAUAAGUCAAGAUCUGUCUUGUGGGAUUGCCCUCAAAUAAUUUAAUCCUCCGAUGCCACUGUUCGACAUUGUGAGGAUUUUGUCUUAGAAGAACACUAUUAGCUAAUUCUGGCCUUCUGUCCAUUAGAUGGUCUAACCUAGCUAGUCUCAGAUCAAUAUCAUUAUCAUCGUACAGCCAGAAGCCUUGAAGUAUCUUCUUCUCAAACUUAGAUACCGAUAAAUCAACAUCCAAUCGUAUGUCCUCCUCCUCCUCCUCCUCCUCCUCCAGGCCAUUCUCUUGUACUUCAUCUUCUUCAUCACUCAAAUCCAUAUUUUCCAUUUUAUGAGCUAGCAUACUCUCCUCAAAUUGAGAGUACGAAUCAAAUAUAACACUAAAAUCUCUUACGGUAACAACAGUAGUCAUCCCUUCUUCGAAUAUAUCUCUUGCCUUCUCGUGCAAAUUCCUUCUGAUGUAAUAUUCUGCAAGUGAUGUCCAUAAGCGCCCUACUUCAUCUGUGAACUUCCUAAUGCCGCCCCUUAUUAUGGCAUCAACAUUCAACCCUGAAACUUCAGUAGCAUGCCUAGUAAGCAAGUCACACAACUCCAACCACAGUCGAUGCUUGGUCUUCCCCUUUAUAGAAUAAAAUUGAUCGUCAUUCAACACAGAAGCCAAAUUCUCUGCAGCUUCUUGCCACAGAUUUGAAUUAACCAAAAAUUCGAUCAAGUCUUCAAUAUGUGUAGGAUCAUAUUUUAAAUACCUUCGAUAAACUCUAAGCGAGGUCUCAAUUGGAAUACCCUUUUGGCUAACAAAAACAAGAUAUGGCUCCCAAAUGCGAUCAUGUUGUGUCACUGGAAGGGCACAGAGGGCUCGAUCAAAUGUCCGACGCGUUCGUGUCACUAAUUUCUGGUUUGUCAAAGUCUGUAGGUACAUUAUCCAUAUUCUUGGCAUUUUAUGCAUAGUCACAAGCGCUCGUUCAAACGUGUUGUUAAGAGUUUCGUAUUGAGAAUGAGUAAUGGGAAGAUUUCGUACCAAAUCGAGGCGUUCGCGCAGAUAUGCAUACCACAACUUAUAGCUACCCGGGAGGGCCUUGAGUGCUCGCUCAUAGAUUAUAAAUCGCUUUUUGAAUGGUGCUUCUGCUCGUGCUAUGAGGUAGCGCCACCACAAUUUCAAACUAAAAGGAUUUCGAAGGAGCUCUUCUUCGUAGAGAAGGUCAUCCUGUGAUGGAUACAAAUCUUGGGAAAUCGACAUGAAAAUAAACCUAACAGUCCUAACUCAACCAAUCCUCCCACAAUCAAAAGCCGUGAAUGCUUCCUGACCUAAAUUGCAGAGAGACAAUGAGAGGACAAAGAAUUAUCUAAAACUUUUAGGGCUGAUGUUAGAGAGAAAGCAAGAGUGGAUUGUGUACACUGAACUCAAAGACAUAGAUACCACCGAAACAGAAAGCAGUUGCUCCAGUGCCCUCCUUUUCAACAGUAAAAAUCCUCUCCGACAGAACCCUAAACCCUUCAGAUCAGGGAGAAGACGCCGAUGUCGGAUUCAGCAAGAUUUCAAAUUAAAAUUGUUCCUAGUUCCAAAUUUGGAAGUACCGAAAUGGAGGAGACGCCAAUGCGCACGAACGGAUGGCGGCGAACGAAACCCUUUAACUGGAACGGCGCGCGAACCAUGUGACGGAGGAAGGAGUUUGGACGACUUGAACGGCGGCAGCGCUGAGGUGCAAUUAAGAUACCUUGAAAUCGUAUUGGCUACUCCACUAGAGAGGAGACACCGAUGUUUAUGUAUUCACAUGUUUUAGUUUCACUAAUUCUAUAUUAUUACUUUAUAAUUUGAAAACAUAUUUUAUAAUCAAUCGUCUUCGUUUCUAGAAAUUAAUUUUAAUUUUAGUGAUUUUUAAAUCAAAUUGGUUCAAAGUGUAAAUAGGCAUUUUCAAUUAAUUCAUUGGUUAAAAUCUUAUAGUUAGAAAUUAUUUCAAUUGCAAUCGUGAUACCAAAUAGAGUAUUAGUUUUUCACAUGACUUAUGUAGAUUUUUAGUAUGAAACAUAUUGGUUGCUACCUAAUUUAUCCAUCCGUCAAUGUGAAUAACUUUCUUACAUUUUGAUUCUAGUUUUUACUAUAAGACUAAAUCAUUUUAGAUUUUUAAUUACUCUUGUAACUAUGUAUAACAGAAAAAAAAUGUUUAAAUUUUAAUUGGUGUCCCAACUUUAUAUGUUGUUAUAUUUUGGUCCUUGAAUUUUAAAAAAUGUAUGCUUUAAUUCUAAAACUUUUUAAAAUAGCACAUGACGUUAAGAUUCGAUAACAUUUUAAGGAAUAGUGAUGCAUGCUUCGAUAUUUAGAUGAUUACGAUGAGAGGCGAUAUAAUCACUCUUAAUAAUCUAUUAUUUUUAGUUAGAAAAAAAAAAUUAUGUUUAAUUAGAGAAUUAAGUUUUUUUAGAUCUUAAUCAUUACCAUUGAAAUGCAAUUUAUCCAUAUAUAUACAUUUUAUAGUGUCUCAACCUUAUGAUAUUUUAUGAUUCAUUGAGGUAUUUUUGUUAUAUUCCUUCUAGUUAUUUCUUUAUCCUCGUAUGAGAUUUUACAAUUCUACAUGAAAACAUUUAUUUGCAAUUUUGUAAAGUUUAUUUUAAGAUAAGUGUCGCAAUUAUUUGAUUUUUUAUAGUUUUUUUUUUUAUAUUAUACUAAUAUCAUUUGAUGGUUUGCUUCAAAAUUUCAAUUUAAUAACUAAAUAAAGAGUGAAGAGUCGAGAAGAGAUGUGAGAUAUUUAAGUUUUGAAAAAAAAAAUCAAAAUUAAUUUUAAAUUUAGGUUUUAUUUAAUUAGACUGAUAAAAUCCAAAAAUUUUCUAUAGCUUAUAAAUAUUUUAAUUUAUUUUGUUAUUUUUAAAAAUGUAUAUAAUUAAAAUAUAUUAAUUAUAUUUAUACGUUAACAUACAAACUUUAUAAAAUAAAUUAACAAAUUUUAUUGUUUAACUGACAAUUUAAUUAACAAUACGAAUAUAGAACUUAAUAAUUCAAAUAUAGAAUGACACGUGGACAUUUUGUUAAAGAGUUAACAUAAUUCUAUCGUCAAACAUCAAAACAAGUUUUUUUCAUAGGUUAUCGAUCAAAACAAACAUUUUCAAAAGUUCAAGAACCAAAAUAAAACAUAAAGACGACUUUAACAAAAAUAAAAAAGUUAAAGAAGAGUUCGAAAACAUUAAUUAAACAUACAACAACCACUUUUAAGAGAACAGCAAAAGUAGCAACUAUUUUUUAAAAAUAUAGCUACACACUUGCUUAUUUUCAUAAAAUUGUUACCUACAAAGUAUUGUGCGGGUAUAUUCUCAAAUUGUUACCUACAAAUCAGGGAAGAUUGCAAAUUUAGCAAUUAAAUUAAAAAUAAUUAAAUAUAUAGCAAUAUUUUUUAAAAAUUAAAAUUUGUGGAAUUGAAUGCAAUUUUUUUUAAACGUGGCUAUAUCAUUGGUUAAUGUUUGUCCAUUACAAGUACCCUACAAAUUAAGGUUUGGGCCAAGAUAGAUUGGUGUGAAGCCCAAGGUUGGGGCGAUCAAUUAAAAAGGCCCAACAGUAAUCAGAUAAAGCAAAGAGGAGAGACCGCAUGAAGCUCACUGUACCGUCGCUCCACCGUAACAGAAGAUGAGAUGAAUUUCUUUUUCGUUUCGUUUCAUUUUUAUUUUGUAUUUUUUGGUAUUUUGGUUUGCAACUGCCACACGCAGAUGCCGUAAGCAGCAAUAAUAACAUGUGCGAGCCCACACGCAAUCUUUUCCCUCUCUCUCCACAUUUCUUCUUCUUCUCCUCCUCCGACACGACCUCCGUCUCUCACCAUUCACAUAUCGCCUCUCUUUCUCUCAUCAGGGUUAACUUCUCCCCUUCUCCUUCUAUUUAGAUUGUUCUUCUUGUUUGUUUCCUUUUGAUCUCUCCAUUCUUUUACUUUUCCCCUUUUGCUGCUACUUUUUUCCUUGUUUGCCCGCCGUUAAUUCGGAGGCAAAACUAUGAAUAACAAGUUUUUGUUUGUUGUUUGUCUCUUGCUCUACGAUAAUAUUUCUCUUCUCUUUUCUUAGAUCCGAUUCGAUUCAAAUUUGCUUGAUUUUCCAAAGGGUUUUCUCUGUUUUUCAAUUUCUUUUUCCUCCAAUUAAAGAACCCAUGUCUUGUUUUUCCUUCUUCACGUCUCUAAACUGAAUGGAUUUUGGUUAUAUUUUUGUGGGUUUGGAGUGUUGAUCUGUGAAAUUCAACCUUUUCUGGAUUUAUGUUUACUUUCUAUCUGUGUUUUCUUCAGUGAAGAAGGUCUUUCUCUUUGCGCGUGUCCCGUUCUCUUCUCCAAUCCUCCACAGAACAUAAAACCCCCAAUUUCUCUUCACCAUUCGCACCCCGAAGAUUGAUUCAAUGGAGGUCAAGCUUUGGAACGACAAGCGCGAGAGAGAAAUGUACGACAAUUUUGCAGAGCUCUACGCCAUUAUAAAGGCUACCGAAAAGCUCGAAAAGGCUUACAUCCGUGACAUCAUUUCCUCCUCCGAUUACGAGGCCGAAUGCUUCAAACUCAUCGCACAUUUCAAGACCCUCGCCUCGACACUCAAAGACACAGUCCCGAGUAUUGAACGUUUUGCUGAUACUUACAAAAUGGACUGUCCGGCGGCGAUCAACCGUCUUGUGAUAACUGGGGUACCUGCCACGGUGGAGCACAGGGCGGCCGCCGCUGCUUCCGCCACUACCUCCGCUGCUAUUGUGGCGGAGUGUGUGCAGAACUUUAUUACGGCUAUGGAUUCGUUAAAAUUGAACAUGGUAGCGGUUGAUCAAGUGCACCCCUUGCUCUCGGAUCUCUCUGCUUCAUUGAACAAAUUGACCAUUCUGCCCCCGGAUUUUGAAGGGAAAACAAAGAUGAAAGAGUGGCUUGGACGACUUUCGAAAAUGGGUGCCGCGGAUGAGUUAACAGAGCAGCAGGCUCGGCAGCUUCACUUCGAUCUUGAAUCUUCUUAUAAUUCAUUCAUGGCGGCUUUGCCUACUGCUGGUACUUGAUUGUUAAUGGUAAUCUUGUGUGUAUAUAGAUACAAGAGCUUAUUGUUUUUGUCGUACUGCAUAAGUUCUCUUUCUUCAUAAAUCAAGAUGGGCUGUGCUCUUUUCCCCCUUUAAUUAUGGAUGCCUGUUGAAGAAGAUGGAGCUUUUUUUUCCCUCUUUAAAUUAUCACAUUCAGUUUAAGAAGGCUCUUGAAUUUCUAUUGUUGGUUUAGAUUGUUUCUGAAUCUUGUAUUUAAUUCUGAAAAUGUGCUUUGGAACUUGUUCAAAGUAAGAUUAUGGGUUCGGUUUGGAUUGGGAUGCCUGAACCCAUGAUUCUAUGGUCAUUGGUAGGUCUGUUCUAUUAGGCUCUUACUUUCAAACUCAUGGGUUUGUAUAGUUCUUUAUUGAGAAACCUACUUGGCUACUCAUUUCACCAAAUUAUUGUUUGGAAACUGGUUCUGAAUUGUGCAUGUGAUAUCCUGAUUGUUGUAAGAAUUUCUUUUUUGCUUUUGAAGCUGAUGCUGCUAUGUGCCAAGAGCUAUAUCCACAUCUGAUCAACAAAUCCUUUUUUGGAUACUUUUGGGGUUAUGUGGGGUUGGAUUUUGUGACUUUUGUGCUUUCAGUUCCAGAACUCAUGGGUUACAUUGUUACAGUUCUUUAUCAGAAACCUGCAUCAUUUCCUCAACUUUUUCAAAUCUCUGCUCAUAUUAUAUUUUGUCGUCCAUACUGAAUUUUCUUAUUAAUAAAGCAUGUCAAUCUAAGUCAUGGCAAGUAUCUAGUGACAAUCUUGGCCUUGGAGACUACUUUUAUUCCCUGAAGGCGGAAUCCAUGACCUUCAAGUUCAAGGAAGUUGUACUGAUGAUUAGUUCAUUGGCAAGGCUCCAAAUUUAUUUAGCUACACCCACUUAUCUUUUAGGAUUAUGGUUAGGCAAUCUCUUGAUGAUGAUUCAGAUGUUGCAAGUUGUAUUUAAAUUGUAAUAUAAUUAAUUAUAGUUUGAAGAUAUCAUUUGAAUUCUAACAUUGAUUUGCUUUAAUGUUCUCAAAAUGCCUGUUUGGUAACCUCAUACUUUCACAUCAUUCCAAACAAAGACUGUAUGAUGGAUGGCAUCAUGACAAUGGCUCUGACCUAAUUUGGUUUGGUUUGAUUUGAUUGAAUUGAGCUAUAAACUUGUGGUUAAUAUAGAUUCACGUGAGAAGAGUUAUUAGAAUUCGUUUCAAACACUCAAUCUCUCCUUGAAGACUAUAUGUGACAACCUAAUUGAUUGCGGACUAUAUUAGACUUGAUAAUUGUUUUAAUUUAGAUUGGGUUGAUCAUCACAGAAUUGAAUCAUUUAAAUCUUAGUCUAGAUUCAUGUUUAAGCCCAUCCCUUUCCUUUUCAAAUCUGGUGUUGUUCUUGACUAUAGACAUAAUUUUUCUUCUUAGAUCUAAAAAUAGAGUUGCGAUGUUCUCAUCUACUUCUGAUGUCUUAAUUGCUUAGAGGUGGCAUCAAGAAUGUGAAAAAUACAUAUAUAUUUUUUUUCAAUUCCAAAAUUCAAUGAAGAAAAAAAUAUGUCCUUUAUUUCAUGUUGAAUUAAAUUGAGGAAUCUGUGGUGGCAGUAAAUGCCCAAGUUCAAUAAUUGGUGAGGCAAAAGUGGAGGAUAGUGUCAUACCUUGAAAGAAGAUAAUUUACAACUUUUUGCUAUAAAUUUCAUUCCAAGCGUGCAAUUUUUCUGCAUAGGAAUUAGUAUAAAUGCUACGGAUGGACCUAUUGCACUCAACAUAUCUAUUUCAUUUCAGUUUAUUUGUCAUAUUUUAGUGACUGUUUUUAUUAUUUUUUCAGGAGGACCUAAUGAGUGAGAUUUUGAAUUUAAUACGUGAUAUGAUCAAUUUAAUUAGAUGUUUUAAGGGCUUAGCUAUUCCACAGUUUCUUCUUUUCAUUCAUUUGGAAUUUGGAUUUGCAGUUGAUUGUAUGAUUUAGCUUAAUAUAACCAUUCAUUGUUUGAAAUUGCAACAUCUAACUCUAAUAAUUCCUUUGAAAAUUUUGAAUUUAACUAAAAAUACGAACUCUUUCUAAACAAAAAAUUAAAAAGAAUAAAUAAAUAAUAAAACUAGACUUGGACUUGGAGUUGUAAACAAUUGAUGCAUGUCGUCGUUUAAGCUAUUAAAAUAUGCAUGGUUUAUCAUUUAUUAAUCAUACAACUUUUGACUAUGAUAAAAUUGUGUGAAUAUCUAUAUCAAUAUAUAUUUUCUUUUUGAUUUUUGGUUUUUCGUUUUUUAAACUCAUUUAGAUUUUACGACCGUCAUGUAAAUUAAAAUCAAAAUAUGAAAAAAAGAUAAUAAUUAUCUCCAAAAAUUUAUUUUUGUUUUUUAAAUUUUAGCUAAAAUUUAAAUAUCUAUACAUGGAAUAUGAAGAAAAUAUGCUGGGAAAGAGCUUGGUUUUCUUCCUUAAAAGUUCAAUGUAAAAAACAAUAAAUAAAAAACUAAGGUUGGUUUAGUGAUAUCAUAUUUAUUGUUUUAUGCAUUAAAAUGUAUAAAGAACAAAAAUCCAAUGCCUUACAUUAGAUAAUGGAAAUAAAUCCUAACGUAAUAUUAAUGACAAUAAUAUAACUAUUUUAUCUUCCAAACAUUGUCCAAUUUGGUUAUGCCUAGUUAAUUGUCACUAAGUCAUUUAUAUUCAAUAUUAUUGACUAAUAUCCAACUCUAUUAUAUUGCUUUUGUAAAUUUUGUUAUUGUAAAUACUAAAGUGAGGUUAAAUGCAUGUCCAGACAAACAAAAUUUACUUUUUAAAGACAAAAACUAAAUUUAUGCAGUGUAAAUCAAUAUUAUUAGACUAAGUAGGAUUUUUUAAAAAAAUCUAUAAAUUAUUUAAAAAAUACAAAAUUCAUUCCACUUCAUUUUUCAAUAAAAUAAUAAAUAUUAUCAAUCUAAUUUGCUUUUUUUUUUAAUAUUUAAUGCGUAGAAGCUAAAACUAACUUUAACUUUUCCUUUUCGCCUUCCUUCUAAAUUAAAUCCAGAGCUAUCCUUUUAAUAUAGAAGAAGAAGAAAAAAGUUUGAAAUGAGAAUGAGCAAAGUGGUUUUAGAAAACUCAAUUGUGUAUUUUCUACACACACCUUAGUAUUCUAUGAAAAAGGUAAAGCAUAAUUUUACAAUAGUCUGUAGGAUUCUAUUUAAAAAGGUUAAAAGCAUAAUUUUAAUCAAAGCAAAAUGAUUUAAUCUUGGAAAUUCUAUUAAAAAGGGUUAAGAGUGUAACUUUUAUAUGUGUAUAAAGCAUUGACUUAAUAUCAACCUUUCCGAUUAAUUUAUGAAUUAAAAUUUGUAUUAAAAUCUUAUACAACUUUAUUAAAUUUAUUUUUAGUUAUAUUAAGUUGAUUUUAGUGUAUGGAGUCUUAAUGAUAUAAUUUUCGAUGGUUAGAUGAAUUAAUGUAGAGUUGAAUAUUUUUCUUAAAAUGAUUUAAAUGACAAAACCCAUUUUUGACUAAGAAGAAAUGCAAACUUCAAGGAUGCUAAAAAGAAAAAGGAAAGAAAAGGGUAAAAUCCACGUAGGAAGUUUGAACAACCAACAGCGGCUUAGCUUCAGUUAACCGUCGCGGAGCGCCUACGGUCUGAGUUCCCAGCCGGGCCAGCCCAACUUCGUUGUCUAAACGCCCACGCUUCAUUGGUUUUCUCCGCCGGCGGCCAUCAACACAAACCAAACAGAGCACAUACAUACAUAUAGGAGAUCGGUAUCCUUACGAUUUUCUUUCUAUUUCAAUCUGUUCUGAACACAUGGAUCAAUCCGGGGACUCAGACUUCAUCCUCAACCACCGUGUUCUUCUUCCAGACGGAACCGUCACGCCGAUGAUUCUUACUACCGACGGUUGGCUUCAGUGGUCGGAGAAAAGUCAACGGCGUUUGUCCGUUGAUAAGGAGGUUCUUGGAUUCUCUAUGGAUGGUCCGAAGAUUAGGAUCAAAGCUCUUGUGGAGGACCAUGGUGGAUUGCGGUGUUUUGGAAGCAGCGGAGCUUUGGUGAGGAAGGAGUUUGUAUUUCAGCCUCUUUCCGAGGAGUCACGGGCGCUUUGGUGUCUGAAGCUUCGUGAAUGCAUCGAUUUGAUUGGUAAUAUUAUCGCCCGGAAUUCAUUUUUGGUUCUUGACUUUGGUAGCUUAGGUAAUGCAUGAAACGACUAGUAAGGAUUUUGCUGUGUUCUGAUUUGUUUGUGGCUUUUGGUUCCGGUGACGAUUUAAUACUUUGGAUUCUCUCAAAAGCCAAAUAAAAACUUGCAAUUUAAUUUUUCGUUCUCGUUACUAUUCAUUCGGCUUGAUUUUGAAAAGGGAAGAAAAUUAAUCUUAUUACGAUUUUUCUCUUUGCAAAUUCUCGUCAUCAUAUGUUAGUUCCGGUAUAGGAUGAAUAUACGAUGCAUACUAUAAGGUGCGUUAGAGUCUGGGCCGACUACGAGUCCGAGAAUCCUCCAUGUUCGCUUAGUUUGGAACGUUAUUGGUAUUCAUUGAUUUGGUAUCUUGAUUACUCGUACGCGAAGCAAGGGAACAUCAGUGUUUUUAGUGCUUCAAGCGCACUGUGCCUAGCUUUAUUUUUCAGUAGUUUUCUGGAAUAAUGGCAUUUCUGUUUCUCCAGGUCGCCCAAAAAAGCUGUUUGUUCUCGUUAACCCAUUUGGUGGGAAAGGAACUGGUUCCAAAAUUUAUCGAGAUGAAGUGAAGCCCAUUCUCGAGGAUGCCGAAAUCGACGUCACACUGCAAGGUGGAAAUACUUUUAAUAGAUGUAGACUAAUGUCACUUGUGAGUUUGCCUACUAGCAUUUAAUAGGAUUUCACUAAGUUUGUUUCCUCUGAAUUUUAAAUCUUAGAGACUAAAUAUCAGCGCCACGCAGAGGAGGUUGCUUAUUCAUUGGAUUUUACUAAUUACGAUGGCAUUGUUUGUGUUAGUGGUGAUGGAAUCUUGGUAGAGGUUUGCCUUCUACCCCUACUUGCUUCUCAAAUUUAUAUUCUUUCUGCAUUCUUUUUGGCACCGUCAAUAAUUCUGGAUAGCACAUAAUAGUUGCUUUAGCCUUCUGAUUGUAAAAUCAGUUUUUUCUUCUUCUACCCCUAUUUUCGCAUUCUUACAAGCAUCACAUUGUUUAGUAGGUAAUAAACGGAUUGCUGAGGAGAGAUGAUUGGGUUGAUGCAAUUAAGACGCCUUUAGGAGUAGUACCUGCAGGUACAUUACUAUUAGCUCAGUUCAUGUGCCAUUUGGUUGAUAUGGUAUAACCCUUUUUUAUUAUUUCCUUUUCAAGUAUUACUCUGAGCAUUAUUCUAACUUAACUACAUUUAGGGUUUAGGAGGUAAUUAAAUAGUAUGCAUGAUUAAUUUGUAAUGAUAAAUGGCAUGCAUGAUUGAUUUGUAAUGAUAAAUGGCAUGCAUGAUUGAUUUGUAAUGAUAAAUGGCAUGCAUGAUUGAUUUGUUAUGACUUGUACCAAAUCAUUUAUAGUGAAAGAAUUACAUGUCUAACUAAUAACUAUCGGAAAAACAUUCCCACUCUAUUAGUAUUUAGUCGGGUUUCGUGCGUUAAUGGCAAACGUUCUAUUAGUAUUUAUUGUGGUUUACAAAUGCUUAGGCACUGGAAAUGGGAUGGUGAAAUCACUUCUUCAUUCAAUCGGUGACCCUUGUACAGCAUGCAAUGCUACUCUUGCCAUCGUUCGAGGUUUGCAUAGUGCUGUCAGUUUCUUUUCCUUGUCAUUUUCCCCAAUCUCAUCUCUAAUCAUUAUUUUCUUUUACUUCGUGAUUGAGGCAGAGUGCCUGCAAAUUUUUAUUUCUUGUAGGCCAUAAAUGUUCAUUGGAUGUUGCCACCAUUUCGCAAGGAGAGGCUAAACAUUUUACCGUGUUGAUGCUUGCUUGGGGUAUCUCUAUUAUAAAAUCUCUCUCUUUAAUGUGAUUUACAGUUCGGUUGAGAUUAAUUUUCCCGUUUCUAGUGGAAAAAGUUCAAAGAUUUUCCGUUUGGUCAAUGCUGCUGUUUCUUGUUUUCACUUUUGAUUAUAAGAUGAAAUAACUUUAGUUUGUCUCCUUAAUCAAGUAUUGCUUCAUUUCAGGAUUGGUGGCAGAUAUUGACAUUGAGUCGGAAAAAUAUAGGUGGAUGGGAAGUGCUCGGUUAGAUAUUUAUGUAUGUAUGAGUUCCUCAUAAAAGAUGAUCAUAUUUUAUCACUCAAUUUAUCUCUUUACGUCAUAACUUGUUUGUAAAGUCUGAGAACAGUUAUGCUAUAUACAACAACAAAACAAGUAUGCUAAAAAAUGAAUGAAAUAUAUCUAAAAAUAAGAGGUCAAUUGGCUGCUGACCGGAUUAUAAUUUUAAAUCUUCAAGUAUUUUAGUUAUUCUUUUUAAUUUAUUUAUGGUGAGUUUCGGUUUAGAUGCAGAAAGCUCUGUUCUAGAACUAAUGAGUACCCACUGUGUGAUUUCAAAUUCUCAUGAAGUUCCCUCAGUGAAUAAUUGGUGUUAGAAUUCUAACUUGUUCUUGUGUUUAGGCUCUCCAACGAAUUAUAAGUUUGAGGCACUACAGAGGAGGUGUUUCUUUUGUGCCUGCACCUGGAUUUGAAGAUUAUGGAGAGCCGACAAGGUAUGAUUAUGAAACUGCUAGCGUAGUAGAGGUUGACAAAAGUGAUGGUGAGCCCAUUAGUAUUCAACGGCAUGGCUACGAAGGACCUAAUAUCAACUUGAAGGAUUUAGAAUGGAGAAAAUUUGACGGACCUUUUAUUUCAGUCUGGCUUCACAAUGUACCUUGGGGAGCUGAAAACACCUUGGCAGCGCCAGAUGCUAAGGUCGGUUUGUUUUACGUUGUUAGAUUACUAAUGAGAAAUUCCCCUUGAUAUUGCAAUAUAGUUACGAUAAUGUUUCUUUUUCCUGCAUUAAGGAUGUGGUUGUCAGUUUCCACAUGCCCUUUUCAUAGGAUCUACCAAUUUGGAUGCCUAGGUUGAAAGUUAUCAUUGAGCCUCUUGUUAAAGAUAAUCCAAUUCUAAAUGACUCUUCGAUGUCUUUGGUAACUUUCAUUUCCACCUGAGACUGGCAAGGCAGCUAUUAAAAACAAUCUUGCAGGAGAAAAACUUGCAUAAUCUUUUAUCUUUAUUGAUAUUUAAAUUAAACAAUCUCCUUGAGGUUGCCACAAUGCUAAGCAGUUUCUUCUUAUCCUGAUAAUCUUGCACCAAUUCAUUAUUUUGAGUGUUCUAGUAUUUGUGAACUUUUACAUUAGUAAUGUUCUUCCACCCCCUGAGAACUUUUGUACAGAAAAGAGUUCUCUGGAAUCUAACCAUCCAAAUAGGAUUUUUGUGAUAGAUUUUUCUGAGAGACUGACUGUGAUAAUAUUACUCAAGUGGUGCUGGUGCUUGAUACAAUUUGCUUUUGUCAUUCAUCAACAGCUCAAUUAUUUAUUGGAAAAUAUUCAAUAUAUAGAAUCAAAUGCAGUAAUGUUUCUUUAUUGCUUCAAUCCUGCACAACAAGGUUUUCCUUUUGUGAAUGGUGUGUGGUUUAGUUGCGAAGUUACCUGAUGUUUGCUACUGCAGAGCUCUCUAAGUUGGGUUCCUAGGAAUUUUACAUACGAGUUACUACUUUAUCUCUUGUGUUUAAAGUUAACAUAUACUGCCGUGGUUAAUUGAUAUACAGAUGUCAGAUGGCUUCUUGGACUUAAUAAUUAUCAGAGACUGCUCAAAAUUAUCCUUGCUGUCGUUGAUGACUGAGUUAAAUAAUGGAAAGCAUGUGAAGUCUCCAUUUGUUACGUAUAUCAAGGUUCAUGCUUCGGUUUUACGUUGGCGUUUUCUAUCUUCUUUCAAUCAUCUCAUGCGAAACUGUGAUUUGUGACAGAAAUCUUGAACGUUUCCUCUUUGCAUUUUUAUUUCGGUCUUUCAGUUUUCUCUUAAGAUUUCCUUCAUGUUGGGCAACUAAUUGUAGGUCAAAGCAUUUAUUUUGAAACCUGGCACACGGGUAAAGGAGCCAAGCAAAGAAGGAAUUAUAGACGCAGAUGGUGAAAUCUUAGCUUUGGGGAAGGGAACUCUCACGACUAGUCAGAAAACUCUUAUGAAUUAUGAUGAACUUCUAAUCAGCGUACAUCAAGGGUUAGCCACUCUAUUUUCCCCCUGUAGGAAUUGAUCAAAUCAGAUGGUCUUGAUUAAAUUUUAUUCCUGAUUAGGAACUGAAAACAACCCUGAUUCUUUCCCCUCAACUGUAAAGAACUAAUAUAUAUAGCAAUUUAAGAGUUGACAAAAUUGAGUGCGCGACUGUCUUGGGAAAUUUUCAGUUCAUAUUUGUUCUUCAUUUUCAAACAUUAUUUUUAUUUGAAAUAGUUUGGAGCGCUGUUACGGACAUGAAUCAUGACAUAACACGCGCAGAGAAACUAAACACACACAAGUAUUGAUACCAAAAUAAAGGUAUUCAUGACCUGGUUUAGAUUCACAAAAACUAGUGUUACUCAUUGGCUUUGCCUCAGACCCUUAUAAAGGUCUUAAUCAAUUGCACAUCUGCUGCUCAAGCCAAUCUUGAUGGCUGUGCUUAAGCUCCUGGUUGAUGUCAUUGCUGUAUCCAUUAUCUUAAUUUGUAGCUUGAGAAGUAUUCAAGAAUUCAAAUAAUAUACAAAAAGAAACUCUAUAUAUUUCUCCUCAAACAAAAGGAACAAAUAUUUGAUAUCUUUCUUUAUCCAUGCAUUAUGUUAGAUAUCAACGGAAAUCUCUUUUUAUCUUUUCAAAGGUUCUUUUUGUUCACUUUUGUUCCAUAUAAGCAUUUUUUUUUGUAAUUUUCUUCUUAGUUUCUUGCUCAUUGUUUCUUUCCUUUUCUCCAUUAACAACGUCUAUAUGUUAUCUUUAGUACAUUUUGUCUAUCUCUUGUUUUUUUUCAUUUGCACACCUUUUAGUUAAUCAAAAGCAGUCCAUCGACAUUCUCGCUAUAAUAUAAAUCUAUCGGUGAUAAAAGUAUUGCUAUUUAGUAUAGGAGUUAGGAUAACGUACAACAUUUAAGAAAACAAAUCAUGAAUCAAUUAGGAGUUUUAUGAUAACCAUUUUGAGUUUUUGAGAAUCUUUUUGUAUAAUUGUGAUGGGGAAUAAAAACAGAAUUCAAAUCAUUGCAAGCCUGAAAAUUCCCUAAAGAACAUCGUUGAGUCGGCAUUGCUUCAGACUCCCAUUCAAUAACUUUUCAAAGAAUUCUUCAAUGUUUUUCCUCUUUUUCCUCCCUAAGGAACAUGAGCAAGCUUUCAGUAGUAUUAAGUUUGUUAAGUAGAGUUGAUAUGUCAACUUAAUAAGACGCUCUAUGGUACAGGGCCUGAUCCAGCCAAUUUUUAACAUAUAUAUUAUGCCUUUUAGUCUUUCAGUCUGUCGAGUAAAGCUGAAUCGGAAAAACAAGAAAGACUGCCAUGCUGCAUGUGCAUGAGCAUAUAAAUUGAUAGACUUGGCCAUUUUAGCUCUCACUUAGCACCACCACUGCCAACAAGGAGCAUAUAUUCAAGUGAAAAGUCUCACAGAACCAUCAACUUGUUGUAGAACCAUUCAACUCAAAGCAUAGAUAGGACUAAAUAGUGGGAAAAAGACAUCGGUUGGAAGGAAAAAAAAUAAUCAAUCCAACAAGAAAAUAUUUUAAAACUUCAACAUGGUUGUAGGUUUGGCUGAACAAGUAAAUUCAAAGAUGGGAUAUCUGUUCAACCUUAAAUCUAUUUAUUCAUUUAUGCUUUGUUUGAAUUACACUCGUAAGUAUUUAAAUUUAAUUUAAAAAGUAAAUUAUUUUGAAAAAAAAUUAAAGUGUUUGGAAACACUCAAAAUAUAUUUUAAAGUAAAUUUUAAAUAAUCUUUAGAAAAAAGUAUUUAAACAAAAAUGAAAUUCUUAAACAAUAUUUUUUUCUUUAAUUCAAUUGAAACGGAUCCUUAAUUUUGUAGAAUACUUACGACAUUUUUGAAAUUUGGAAAAUUGUAUCUUCUCUCACCUACCGCUACAAUAACUUAACCUAUUUUGUUUAGAACCAAUGAUUAGUAGAAUAAAAUAGUAGUUUAGAGAAAGAUCAUUAUUAAGCGAUUCAAGUUACUUUACAAUAAUAUAUUGUUCGUUAUCUUUUUUUAGUGGUACUCUCCAUGUUCAUUUUGAUAGAAUCUUGAGCUGGUUGCAGAGUUUGAGAUGUGUCAUCCGUGGCCAAGAAGAAGUAUUAGAUUGUAACCCAGUCAAAUAAAACCAAAUAAAUAAAAGGUCAAACCCUGGAAUCAUCUAUUAUUCAUCCUCAAGUUUGAGUUCCUAUGAUGUCUUAUAAAAUACAAUCCUUGUAAAUAUUUUCAACAAUGCAACAAAAAGUUCUUCUCAUUUAUCUUCAUACUCUCCUUUAGUCUUCUCUAUCUUAUUUGAUUAGAGUGCGUUUCUUUUCUAUUACAUUAAAUUGAUUAUUGUACUUCAAUAUGUUUUAUGUUGCAUUUUUGUACUAUAAUCCAAUAUUUGUAUCGUAGUUUGUACUCUGGUAGUUAGCUCGACAACUUAUGACUUUUAUUAGAUUUGGCAAAGUACAUUUAAUAUUUUUAGGUUAUAUUUAUUUAAGAAAAAAAGGGUGUAUGUUCAAUAUAUUAGUAUCUUAAGUUUUUUAGAAAUUGAGGUAUUGUCGCAUCAUAUCAUGAUAAGUAAUCUCUAAAGAAGGUACUCAUCUUUAUUUCGGUAUGUACUUAACUAAAUUGACUAUUCGGAGUGUCAAUUUAAUUGUUAAAGUGUGGUAUUUUUGAAUGUGAAGAUCUUGUUGUCAUGUAGGUUAGUUCGAACCAUAUCUAAGCAAAAUUUGAGGAAGCAGUAAAAUCGACAAGUGACCUAUGACAGAAUACAAAGGGAGUUAAAUUGUUGUUGUGGUAAAGAAGUUUAGGAAUUAUAAAAAAGGAAAGAAAACAAAAAAGAAAUGAAAAUAGGGAGACGGAAAAGGAAGGGAAUGGGAAAAUAUAAGAGGGCCGAAGUAAAACGGAGACGACUCGACUUGAUACCGAAGCCUCGUGGAUUGAUUGUAUUGUAUGCUAUUAUUUAUUAUUGAUAAAGGAUUGAUUGUAUCGUUUGUUGAAGAAAGAAAGAAAGAAAGAAAGAAAGAAAGAAAGAGAAAAGAAAAUGAUUUUCCAAAGAAAGACGCAAUUUUUACUUUCGUCAAAUUUAGUUUUAUUUGGUUUAAAUAGGUCGCUGUCUUCUCUACAAGCCGUCUAUGGGGUCUGAUACAAAUCCUGUUAGGCUUCUCGUCCCAUGAUUAUUGCAGAUCAGGUCGCAACUACCACCAUUUCAACUCUUGAACUUUCUACCUCUUUUCUUCUUUCCUAUUCUAGGGUUUAUGCCCUCCAACUCCCAUGUCUUCUGCCCUUACCACUGCUUCUUCCUCCUCCUCCCCUCUUUCCUCUAAAUCUUGCUAUAAUUCCGACUGUAAGGAACUCAGGCCUGACCGCUCCAGAAAGGGAUGGCGUCUUCGCACCGGCGACUUUGCCGAACUCUGUGAUCGAUGCGCGUAAGUCUCUUCUCUUUCUACUUUUAUUAAAAAUUGUUUCUUUCCUUUCUUUUUACCCCCUCUCACUCGGUUUCCUCUAGUUAUUAGUCUGGACUACUUAUCUGGGCAUGUUUGGAGUUUUCUUUGCUUGGUUUAGUGCAGGUUAAAGGGGAGGGGAUUUACUUUUGCCCCGUCCACUUUAAUCGCCAUUUUUGUGUGGGGAUGUUUUCACACUGGUUCCAUCAAGUUUCGAGUUUUACGGGUUAAGGUUCUGGGGAUUGGUUUACAAAACUCAAUGAAUUAUGGUUGCAGUUUCUAAAUACGGUGAAGCUAUAUUUUCUGUUUUAGAGAGCUUACCGACGUGUGUUGUGGGGUAGAAGACUAGAUACAAUUUUCAUUGGAAGAUUUGCUUUCCAAUGACCUGUGAGAGUUAGUUGAUUCAUGUUCUGGUUAGAAGUUCUUUUGUUACUGAACCUGCAAUUGUUCUUAUGAUAUGGACUAAGUGACUCGUUUUUUUCCCCUCCUGCUUCGAAAUUAUUUCUUUCUAGGAAGUUGGAGUGGUUCUGACUUACUAAUAUUGUGGGCAAUUUAUUUCUUUUGAGUAUCCGUAGUAAUUGAUAUGAUGCGUGCAUGUGGAUGGAUUUAGCGCAUUUUGUAUAAGAGUGCUGAAGUAUUGGAAGUAAACAGAUAUCAUAAGAUGGUUGGUUGUGAUGAGAGGAUUUUUUUUUUCAUUAAAAGAAUUAUGUCGAUUGAAAUUCGUCUAUGUCUACGAAUGCUUACGUCUUCUUGUAAGCACUCUGGUCAAAUUGACUACGAACAUUUUAAGAACUCUGGUCAAAUUCAAUUCUUUUUAGUUCUGCUUACGAGGAAGGAAGAUUCUGUGAGACUUUUCACUUGAAUGCUUCUGGUUGGAGGUGCUGCGAAUCCUGUGGAAAGGUGAGUGAAGUUAAUUUCUAUCAUUUUAUAUGCUCUAUCUUGUAAGUGUGACCAUGCAUCUCCAAAUCUUUACUUUUUGUUUAUUUUAUACAUAUUUACUAAUGAGAAGUCUCUGUCUCCAGCGGGUUCAUUGCGGGUGUAUUGUUUCAGCUCAUGCAUUCACCUUACUGGAUCCUGGGGGUAUCGAGUGCAUGACAUGCGCACGGAAGAAUGUAAUCUUAGUAAGGAUGCAUCUUGCUAUUGUUAAUUCUUUCAUUGAUAUUUCUUUUAACUGUUCAUACUUUUUUUGAUCGGUUUGUUUGGUUGUGACACAUGAGUAAAAUAUUGCCAUUUGAAGUUUCUUUAGUUAAAACUUCUGCAUAGACUAUCCUUUUUACACAUGGCAAUUUUUUAACGAGAGGUUCUGCCUCAAUGCUGAUGCAAUAAUUUCAUCUCUCUUGGUAAACAGUAAACAUUGAUCUCACAAGGGAACCGCCUGGUGAAAGUGGAAAUUACGAAGGCAGUACUUAAAUUUUGUUCUUCAAGUUGGGUCAUAAAAGUCACGUUUGUCCAAAUGAAACUAUUAUUUAAAUUGAUGUGCUAUAAGUUGACAAAGAUAUCUUUUUCUCAAAAAGACUAACCAAUUCUGAUACCUUUUCAUAAUCCUUACUAUGUUUUUUUUUUGCGGCUUUCCUUUUAGUGUUUAUUUGUUAGGUUUUAUCUUCCUACUGUUAAAAGUAAUCCUCAAUUAUUUUAGGCAUUAACUUUUGAAAUUUAUGUUAAAUCCGGUUUUCUAUCUUGGGUUCACUCUCUAGUCUUAGGAUAUGGUUCAUGCACGUGCAGUUUAUGGAAUUUUAAGUUAACAUUAGUUUGAUUGAAUUCCAACAUGAUUGACGUUCUAAAUCAAUUUUCUUGUUUUUGGUUCAGCCACUAAAUCCAGCCUGGCCACCGUCUUUGCUUUUCCAUUCAGCUUUGCCCGACAGACUAAAAGAACUAUCUGUUAAAAAUUGGAGUCAGUUGGCUGGAUCAGGUCCUGUACCAUGGCGCCAAGCUCCCAGUAUGUUCAAUUCUUCUCUCCCUUCUGGUGAAUUGCAUCACAGAGCACCUUAUGAAGUUGACAUAUCAGCUGCACUUAACAAACUCAAUACUAGCGAAAGGUUGCCUGUAUCUUUAGAAAAAAGAAAAAACGAAGACUUCUCUGAAAGGUUCUUGAAUGGGAGCCUGAAGCCUUGUGGGCAGGAUUUAUGUGAAAAUGGGACUGCAGGUGUGCAUCUUUUCUUUUCUAUAUUUUAUGUUUUGAAGACGUGUAGAUAAUUAGUAUAAAGUUGAUAUGUAGUUACUAUUCAUUUUGGUCAGAGCAGUGUUUUAGUUGUUAUGAGUGCGAAGUGUUGGCUAAACCUGACUAGUGAUAUCGUGUAGGAGGCAUUAAAUGUGAUGACAAACCUAGCUCAUGUUCUAAUAUGCCGAAACAGUCUAGCUUUGUGAAGGAGGAUUCAUCUACUAUGCAAUAUGGUUUGAAUAUACCUUAUGCACCUCCAAAUGAACCAAGUGCUCGGGGUAGGAUUUCUGGAACUCAUUUGAGACCAACCCCACUAUCUUCUCUUCCAAAGCAGAUCCAUACCAAUUUGCAAAAUGGUGCUGACUCGUCUAACGAAACACAGCUGCGCAAUGGAAGGCCUAGAGGAGAAUCACGUGGAAAGAAUUAUUUGCUUCCGCGAUACUGGCCUAGAUUUACCGACCAAGAGCUACAACAAAUAUCUGUCGAGUAUCCUCAAUCUUGGAUAAUUAUAAAAUACAAAAUAAAAUUAUUUGUAGUUGUCGAGGGCUUGUAACUCUGGUUACUAGGGUUCUUACUCCUUUAAAGCAUUUCAGUUAAAUUUUCAGGGAAAUAUUCAAGGAUCUUCAAGUUCCUUUGCAUAAUUUUGUCAAAUUUUUUAGAAGUAUUAGCUAAUAGCCUUGACAAUAUUCAAGCUCGAAUUCUGUAAUUACUCCAUUGUUUGAGAAAAUGUUGAGUGCUAGUGAUGCUGGGCGGAUUGGGCGGUUGGUGCUUCCUAAAAAAUGUGCAGAGGUAAGUAGUCAAUUUCUAGUGUCUAUUGGGGUUUUUUUCUUUGGAAGUUUUGAAGUAGCCAUUGUUUUUCAAUGCUUGAAGGAGACCUUAUUCAUUGUUUUGGACAAAGUUGUUAAAAAGCUAGUGUCUAUUUUCCUGUAUUCAUGUUGAUAUAUUUUCACUCCUUUUUGGAUUUUGUAUCUUUUGAAUAUUUAUUCCUUUUCAUCAUAUCAGUGAGAAGCUGUUUUUUGUUUUUCAAAAAAUACUAUUUGUUAGUUCAAUAUGCAUGCUACUGUCUAAUUUUGGUUGCAAGUUAAAUUGUGCAGACAUCAUGGGCUGAAGUUUUAGCGGUUUCAAUCUUUCUAGCAUAGUAGCUGUAGCUCUAGUGUCGUACCUCAUACUUAUUUGAUACUUGAGAUGGGUUCUUAAAGGCAACCAAACUUAGUGAAAUGCUUGCUGCUUUUGAUCAUUAUGCAUUUUUUUUCCUCAUUAUUUUGCUUCAUCUAUGGAUUGACUUUACGUGUUUGUUCUGUCAUCACUCGGUUAUAUACUUUCAUCAUGCAGGCCUAUUUUCCAUCAAUUUCCCAGCCCGAGGGAUUGCCUCUAAAAGUACAAGAUGCAAAAGGAAAGGAAUGGAUAUUUCAGUUCCGUUUCUGGCCUAACAACAAUAGCAGGAUGUAUGUUCUUGAGGGGGUUACUCCUUGCAUACAGUCCAUGCAACUGCAAGCAGGUGACACAGGUAAGCAUACAAUAAGAAAAUAUGUAAUUCUCAUCAGCAAUCGCACACCACAGUUUGUUAAAAAUUAGGUUUGAUUGGAAGCUUUUGUACACACCUGCAAUGCCCUAAAUUGCCAAGGCCAGUUUGAUAGUAAUGUUUUAAGUCCUGUAUCUACAAAACUAAGGCUGCUUCCUUGUAAUUUCCAUGUUCAUUUGUUUUUUCAGUCUCUGCUUUCUCAAAAUUAGAAUACCAAAAUAUAUAUUCAAAAGCUCUCUUUUAUAGUUAAAAUUUUGGCGAAGAUUUUAAGAACGAUUAAAAAAAUCAAUGUUACAAAAUAUUUUAAUUGUUGAUACCGAGGUUAUUUUAAACAUGUAAAACUUACAACAAAAAUGCUGCUUGGUAGUUAUGGUUUGUUUUGUUUUGUUUUGUUUAUUUUUGUUUUUUAAGGGUUUUCCUGUAUUUAUGUUCUCUCAUGUGUCCUUUAUGUAGAAAAAUUGAAUUUAUUUUUCUUUCAGGAAUUUUCAGGCUUCUGGUGAUUUCAAUUGUGCUUUUAGAAUUCUAUCAAAAUUAUAUAAAAAGGUUCUCAAAAAAGUAAUCUGUAAAACAAAUUGCUAAAUAGUUUGUCAAACAAUUCCUAAUUGAUUCAUGAUUCAUUACUCAUUUUCUUGAAUGCUGAAACUUAGAUUAGUUUACCACCUAUCAAAGAAUUAAUUUCAUAUGAAUUUCCUUAACACCCAAAUGUUCACCCUGUUGUUGGGUUAUGCGGGUUUUCCUAUGAGAUUACACUCACGGAUACUAAAUAAAAAUAUUUACUAUCUUUUUUUUAUAAAACCAUAAAUUUUAUUUUAUAUCAUAUAUUGUGUAUGGUCUCACUCAUGGUAUGGGACUGAAAUCUCCUUUCACAUUACCAGUGACAUUUAGUCGGUUAGAGCCAGAAGGGAAGCUGGUAAUGGGUUUCAGAAAGGCCUCAGCUACAGCCGACCAGGUUAUGCAUUUUCAAGAUAGCUUAUGGCUUUUGUGUAUGUUGAAAAUUUUGAGUGAGAUCCAGAAUCUUGAUGCCAUUAGAAUAUGAAAGUUAAAUGCAUUGUUUUGUAUGCAAAACAUUGCAUGGACGCAUUAUGUGUAAAGAUCUUUCAUUGUUCACUUCUUUUGGGAUAUCAAUUUGUAUUAAAAACGUCUAAGUCGCUAUAAUUUUGCACCUGAGACUGGAAACAGAGUAUUCUAAUUGAUUUUGUAAGUUUUAGAUUGUUGAAAAUGUUGACAUUAGUGCUUACUGGAAAAAAAGUUGCAUAUAUUUACAACUAAAUGAGAAUAUGAAUGCCUGUCUGCAAAUGUUCACAUGUAACGUCACUUACUGAGUUAGUAAUUGUCAUGGCAGGUUUUUUGUGAUAUAAAUUUAUACUUAUUGGGUGGUUACGUUUUCCAGAUUAUGUCUAAGUUUAAGCAUGAGUUUCCAUUUUUCUUUACCUUCAAAACAGACUGAUUGUAUCUAAAAUUGUUUGUGAUCUAACUCUAUAUUUUCUUUGGCAGGAAAAUGAAACAAACAAGACCAAGAAUGGAGCUCCUGUACAUGGAGAUGUCAGUAAUAUAAAAGUUAAAGUCAGUAAAGUUUCAUUUGCUAUCCAUUACUUUAAACAAUAAAUAUUGGAUCACCUUUUUUUUCAUGAAUCAACCAGGCUGAACUGGCUGAUCCUAAUUCGUGGACAAAAGUUGAUAAGUCUGGAUACAUAGCGAAAGAGGUCUUGGGUGCUAAACCUUCAAUUUCUAGAAAGAGGAAAAACAGUACCCUAGGUUCUAAGAGUAAGCGCCUUAGAAUUGACAAUGAGGACAUGAUUGAGUUGAAGAUAACUUGGGAAGAAGCUCAAGGAUUGCUUCGGCCUCCUCCAAACCAAGUUCCAAACAUUUUGGUCAUUGAAGGGUUUGAAUUUGAGGCAUAUGAGGUAUAGCUCACUACAGCUAUGUUUUUAUGAUUCCAUGUAUCCAUUAUUAGCAUUUUAAUUCUUUGUGAACUGAAAACCAACACAUCCUUGACUCAAAGAAAAAGAAAAUUAAUAUAUCCUUCUUUUGGUGCUCAUCACGGAAUAAAAUGCUUUGGCUAUGGUGAUCUGGAUACCAGCAACUGGUUAUAUCCUUAUACUUUACUUAUGUCGACAGUCAUAUGACUAAUGGAAGUGAAAUGUUGCAGCCAAAUACUAUUGGGCAAAAUGUUGGAGCUACCCUUGUCUUUGGGCAAAAUGUUGACUCACAACUUUAAUGCUAGGAGUUACCCUUAUGAUUUCGUGCAUAGUAACUAAUUGGAAAUCUGUUAGGAAUCAAGUUAGUGUAGGAUGCCUUUGUUCAAUAUUGGUUAGAAUGAGAUUAGCAAUGUGGUACUUAAGUGGCUUGACUCUCCCACCCCAAUAAAUAGCUUUUAGUGUGCAGUUUCUUAAGGUUCUUAAGUACCUAACAAAAUCCUUUUUGUUAUCUUUUGGUUUUGUGGGUUAACUCAUUCUCAUUCUUUUGUAUUGACUUCUUUCUUCAAUAUAUAGUUACAUAUCCAAAGGAAAAAAAAAGCAGCUAGAAGCUAUAUUAACAUUCUAAUUCAAGUGCUUUAAACUCAAGUUUUAAGCUCUUCACUGCUUUUGGAUCCAAAAAAUGUUUUAAUUUAUGUCAUGAAUUAGAAUGAUCGUGACAGUGAUUUUGGAGGUUGUCCUUUCUCUUUGAUCCAAUGUUUGCCUGAGAUUUGCCAUGAUUUGGUUACUGUCAUUAGGGGUGAUUGUUGUUUUGGUUUUGUCGGUUUUGGAGUCAACCAAGAACCAAACCAAUCGAUUUUCAUUGAUUUAAACCGAUCACUGGUAAAUAACAAAACCAACGAAUUGGAUUUAUUUGGUUUGGUUUAUUUUGGGUGUUUGGUGUUCCUUUUUUCUUGCGAACUUUUAUUUCAUUUUGACCUUUGUUUUGAAUGUCAGCCUUAGGUUUUGGAGUUAAAGUAAUUGGUGUUGGUUAUAUGAUGUCUAUUUUAUGCUGCAUGUAUUUUAGGGUGAUGGUAACAUCAAUAUUCUGGCUUAUGUUAUUACAGGAGGCACCUGUACUUGGGAAGCCAUCAAUUAUACCACCUGAUAAUACAGGGUAAAUAACCUCUCUUUUCUGGUGGGUUGAUCACUUUCGUGUAGCUUUUCUGCACCGUCAUGAUGUUCAUUUUUUCUGUUGUGUGCUUUGCCUACUUAUGGGCAGGACUGCUGAUUUUUCAUUUUGCUACUGAAACUUCUGUCUGUUAUCUGAAAUUAGUAAAUCUUGUAUGUGUGUUGCUAUUUUUUCCCUCUUUUUUAUUUUUCCUUCAUAUUUGAAAAUAGCACGUGUCUUGUAGCUUUUUGUUUUGUCUUCCCGUGGUUAUGACAUCUUACCAUACAUGGCAUUGGCUAGUCUGUAAGUAAGAUAUAUAUUAUCCUUGCACAUUCCAAAUACUUUGGUUCAUUUUCAGCGAAAGGAUUCAAUGGACGCAAUGUGAAGACUGUUUGAAGUGGCGAAAAUUGCCAGCUAGUGCUCUUCUUCCCUCAAAAUGGACUUGUUCUGACAACUCAUGGGAACCUGAGAGGUAGCAAGGAUGCAUUAUUCUCUAUUGACUUCUCUAGUGUUGUAUAUUUAUUUUUAUCACAAUGAGAUCUAAGACAGUAAGCACAAACUAGUAUUAUUCUCAGUGCAGCCGUAUAGUGUAUAGAGAGGUGCUUUCGCCUAUUUUCUACAAUAUGUUUAUUUGUUGUUUGGGCAUGUCAUUUUAUCAUGGUGCUGUUACCAGAGGUUAAUUAUUUAUUCCUCUUUGCGGUCAAUGAAAUUGGAUUUGAUAUGUUGAGGUAACACUGUCUGACAUGCUUCAUUAGAAUUCAUGGUCCGUUCAAGGCUCUAUUUUGGAGGAAAGGAUUAAAAUGUACUGUGGGAGUUUUUGGGAGGAAUUAUCUUGGUGCUUCUGAUGUAGUCAGUGUGGCCUAUGUGAAUAUUACUAAUAUAAUUCUCUUUGCCACUAGAUCUUUUUGCUCAGCGCCUCAAGAGUUGUCAACCGAGCAGCUAGAAGAACUACUUUCCCCGGGUAAUUCAGGUGUGAAUUGUUCAAAACGAAAACUAUCACAUCUUUGACCGUAUCUUCAUGCAUGAUGAAUCUCGACUGAUUCAAUAAUAUUUUGUUUCUUAUCCAAUGUUCCUAUCCUAAUCUGUUGUUUGCUAUUUAUAUAGUUGCUCCUGUCAAGAAAAUGAAGGCUGCCAAACUAGAACCAGAUAAUGUUGAAGCUCUGGAAGGACUUGACACUCUUGCAAAUUUAGCCAUCUUAGGAGAGGGUGAGGCAAGCCAGACACCUGGCCAAGCAACCACAAAGCACCCUCGCCAUAGACCUGGAUGCUCAUGCAUAGUAUGCAUUCAACCACCAAGCGGGAAGGGACCAAAACAUAAGCAGACAUGCACUUGUAAUGUGUGCCUGACAGUAAAGCGUCGGUUUCGAACAUUAAUGCUUCGACGAGAAAAAAAGCAAUUUGAAAAGGAAGCAGAAACUAUGCGCCAAAGGCAUAAAUUUCAGGAUGAAAUGUUCCCGGAUAGAUCAAUGGACGAAGAAUCUCUUACUUGCAGUAAUACAAGUACAAGUAAGCUUAUGGAGGAAGGAAAAAUGAAUGAUGGCUCUGAUGAGGAUCCUAAUAGAAACAAGCCAUCCACUUCACCUUUUAAAGGCCAGAUUGAUUUGAACAUGCAGCCCGAGCGGGAGGAAGAGCUGUCACCAGGUUCUGAUUCUGGAAGCAUGAUGAAAAUGCUUCAAGAUACUGGGGACAGGUUUCUUGAGCAGCAGAGGUCGAACUCCGGUGGUACUCGAAGUUCAUCAAGCGAUCCGUUAGAACCUGGAGGGGAACGCGAACACAAAGGUGAGAGUAGUAGCAAUGUCAUUGAUCUCAGUAGCAACAAUUUAGACGCUGACAAGGACCAUCCUGCAACCUUGUCCUUGAAUCCAUCGGCGUCCAUGUCAACCACAGGUUGAAUUAAAACAUUCUACUUAGAUGCGGGCACUUCAUAUAUACAUUGCAUUGGUGGGUCAGUUUUUGUUGUACAUUCAUCCACGCUGGCCUUCAUCAAAGUUGCAAAUCUGUACAUAAAGAGGGUUCAGACACAACCACCCUUAGUUUUAGAUGACAGCGGAAUGUUGAGCAGAUAACUAAUGAAAUCUCUUAUUUAAUCAACCAUUUUAAAUUUGGAAAGUGUUGAAUGAAUACUUCAUGCACAAUUAUUAACAGGUGAAGUUGAUUUUCAGCACUAUUGAAAUGGAAACUGGUUUUCAUGAAGUUUGGCUCAUCUAAACCCAUUUCUUCACAAUCUCAAGGAAAGAUUCAUACUAAUUAAUUGUUAAGCUAUGUUCGUUACUUUCAGCAUAUUAAUGACGAUCAAAAUGUACUUGAAAUAGUUCUUUAAUCUUUACUUUGUUUUUUUAAGUCUAAAUUGAGAUUUUAACUUUGGACUAAACACAUUUGGUUGUAAACGAGUAAUAUAGUGAGUAUUUUCAACUGUGUGAGGCAUAUGAGUUAAUUAGAUUGGUAUAACCCUAAAAAAGGAAAUAGAUUGAUAUAAAAAUUAAACACAUAUCUUUUCUAUAUUAAAACGGGCUAUGUAGGUCGAAUUUUACAUAGCCAUCUUGUCACAUUUUUCACAAAUUCUCAUAUUAUCUUUUGUCGAGUGGUUGUGACUUUCAAAUGUGUCAGUUUAAAAGACGGUAGAUAUGGCUUUUCCUAUUUCUAGUUUAUAUGAUAAAUUUAUAUAUUUUAAAAAUACGUAAAAUUGAUGAUGCAAUAGAUUGGAGAUGAAUCUAUUCAUAGUUGAAGUUUUUACAUACAUCAAAUUGAUGCAUUGAUUCUUCAAAUGUUUAUACGACAUGCAAACGAUCAAGUAAAUAUUUGAAGUUAUAAACUUAACAAAUAUAAUUCUACAAGAUCCAAAGUAAAGAAAAUAUAUAUGUUAAAAUAUUUACUCUAAUAAAAGUAAGUAUUACGAUAAAACAAUACUUUUUUUUUUGUGUGAUUUCUGAGUAACAUUUAUUUAUUAUAUGUUAAAAAUCAAUAAUCAAAAUUAUAAGAUAUUUCACGGACAAAUCUGAUCAGAAAUGAUAAAAGUGAUCAAAUAAAAUGUCUAUAUAAUUAAACAUGUGAGAAAGAUCAAAAGUUAAUGUAUAUUAGUAGGGUUUAAUUUAAUUAGUGAAUGUAUGAGUUUGACUUUUUUUUCUCUUUUAUCAAAAGUUAAAAAUAAAAAUUAAUUUCAUUCACUCUUUCAAAAGAAAUAAUAAUAAAUUAUCUAAUACACCAAAUAAGACUUCAACUCAACCACCAAACAACAUCAUGUUUUGAACAACUUAAAAGAUAAAAUAAAAAUAGUUACUCUAAUUUUUUUCAAGGGCAUUAAUUAUAUUGAUACAUUCAACUAUGCAAGCUUAGACUAUAACUUUUAUUUUCAUUUUUUUAUGAAAUAUUAUGGUUUCAUUUGCUAAUAUAUAUUUAUUAAUUAAAACAAAAUAUGGUUUUUAUAGGCCAAACAAGUUUGGCAAAAAAAAAAAAAAAAACAAUAAGACCAAAAUGAGUAAUGCUCAACUCAGGGGUGUGAUUCAAAUUCUCCACACUACAAAGGUGUUACACAAUUGCAUUAUUAAAAUUUUAAUUUAAUCAUAUCAUAACCCUAUGGAAGGAAUAGGAAAAUUGUUGUAAUUAUAUUCCUAAAGAUGAUAAAAAUAAAUGUAAGAAUAUAACUUAGCAUUUCUACAAAAAAAAGAAGACGGGAAACUAAUCAACCAGUAAAAAUAUUCACAUGAAACAAUGAUUAAAAAAAAUAUUGAAAACAUGCCUCCACAACUUUUUGGUACCAACUCUUUGAUGCUCAACAUUUUGUUCAAUCUUCUACCCUCCUCCUAAAGUGUUGCAGCUUCUGACUUUCUUCUACAGCAUUUGUAAGAGUUCCUGUACAAUUUCGGAGAUCGGGGGCCGAAAUUCAGGCUCUCUCUGCCAAAAGGUUGGCCAAAAAUGUUAGUAAAGAGAAGUAAGUAUCUAUGGUAACUUGAUAUCAAGCAAAAGUUGUAGAGAAGGUUACCAUUAUGCAAGAGGAAAUAAUAUCAGCAAAGCGCGAUAACGAUUUAGCAGGAUACAUGCCAUUAAGUGAUGGAUCGACCAUUCGUGAUAAUGCAUCGAUAUCAUGGAGCCUUGGAACAGCCCAUCGAACAAGAAAUUGUUCUCCUCGAGGCAGUGAUCUAGAGUUUAACAGUCGAGUAAGAACGUGAAUAUUGUAACUUAGGAAAACAAAACUAAAAGGUAGCAAACAGUGAAUAAUGGAUUUCACUGAUUUCAGAUUUGCAUACCGAUCGCAAGACUUUCGACCAGUCAAAAGCUCUAGCAUUACGACUCCGAAGCUAUAAAGAUCACUUUGGUAAGUGUAAGUUCCUAGCUCAAAUUCAGGAGCACUAUAACCCUGAGCUGGGAGGGAUGGCGCAGAUGACUAUGUAAUAAAAUUUGUGUUAGCAACAAUGUAUUUCUCGCAACUUCUACAUUUAAUAAGUUCUCAGAUGCUAAUUGAUUCUAGGAUUUGGAUAAAGUACCUGAGUAGCUGAAGGCAGCAGCCGAGCUAAGCCAGAGUCAGAGACUCGUGGUUUUAGCUCAUUGUCCAAGAGAAUGUUAGCAGACUUGAAAUUUUGGUGCAUGAUAGGCGGUUGACAGGCUUCAUGCAGAUACCUGUCUCACAAGAGAAUGAAAGAACUUAAUACCAUUAGUGCUAUACCAUUUCAUUGAAAUCUGUCCUGCAAACUCAAUUAUUCAUUCACUUACUCGAGGGCACGUGCAGCUCCAAGUGCAAUCCUCACACGUACAUUCCAUGAAAGCUUUUGAUGCAUCUCCUUGUCAACAUGGAGUGCAUCAUAGAGUGUGCCAUUUUUGCAGUACUCGUAAAUGAGUAGGUAUUGUCCAUGCUCAGCACAAUAUCCCACAAGCUCCACAAUGUUAUCAUGCCGAAUUUGACAUAUACUAGACACCAGGUCGUGAAAAUCAUCAUCAUUCCAAUGAGUUGAAGAGGAUCCAUCCAGUUUCUUAACAGCCAGAAGCUGAAGAAAAUUUUUUGACUCCGUCACAAGGAAAGUAAAAGUAUUAGGAAUUUAGCUACUUAUUUGAGGGUGAUUAAAUUACUUACCCUUCCACUUGGCAGUUCAGCACUAUAGACACUACCAAGCAUGCCUCUCCCAAGAAGAUUAUCUUCAGAGAAACUAUUAGUAUACUGCUGAAGUGACGCGAUUGUGAAAACUUUUAAAGAACUUGUUUUCAGUUUUCUAGGUACUUUACUGGGCACUUCAGCCGCCAUUGGUUUUGCAAUCUCCUGAGUUGAAAGGAGUGGAAAAGGAGGGGGAGGAGGUGGUGGAGGGAAGUCAUCCAUGCUUAUGCUCGAACUCUCUGUAUGGUCUCGUCGGAAACUUGUAUUAGAGGCAUCUUUUCUUUUCCCAUUUGUGUCCUGUCUAUCAUGUAGCCUUGGGGUUGUAAAAUCCAUUGUUCUAUCCUUCAUUCUGUCUCUAUCAAGUGGCUUAAGAGUGGUCUCCUUUGGACCUUAAAGAAAACAAGUCUAUUAAGUCAGGUUUCACGUAAGUUAAGAUUGCCUAAAUUUGAUAAGUGAAAAAUUAAAAGACGACAAAGAGAUGUGCUGGUUUGUACCUUUCUCCAUGUCUACACCUUCAACCGAGGGCUUCAUGGGUUUAGGCUUGUAUUUAGAAGCCAUAUCAGUGUUGUCACGAACAAUCUUGUUGUCUUUUCGACGCUUGCUUCUUUUCAAGCAUAUUGACACAAGAAGACAGAAUCCUAAUGCUACUAAUAUUACUGUCCCAAUAAUAACAAUCCAAAUGAUUCGCUUAGCAGAGAAAAAGCUCCUUGCUCCAUCUGAUGAUUCAGGAGUCCCAGGCCACAAUGGCUGGCCUCCACCUGCUUGUCUAGUUGGUGGUCCCACAGUAACUGGCGCAACAGCAAAUGGUGAAGGGGCUAAAGCAGGUGCAGACGGAAUUAUUGUAGUAUUGAAAGGGUUCCCAUCUUUUCUGCAUAUAUAACAACAGCACAGUUGAUAGGAUAUAAUAUUUCCGUCUAAAAAGGAAAGACCAAGUUAUCUAAGAAAGAAGAGGAAAACAAGAUAUGUAAAGUAAUGAAAAUUGAAAAUGUACAAGGGAAAUAAUGUCAGUUAGGAACUUGGCUUCACAUUUCACAAAGUCUCAGGCAAAAAAAAAAAAAAAACCAUCCCUGCAUGCAUAAUAACCAUAUUUUCAGAAAAUGCUUGAAUUCACCUGAAAUUUGGAAUGCCCAACAACUUUGCAGGUAUAGGUCCAGAAAAUAGGUUGUUCUCUAUAUUCCUGCAUACCAGUGAGUAAAUUUUCAAUUGUAGGACAACACCAGCAAUUCCCAUCCACUUUUCAGCAUUAAGAUACUAUAUCCUUUAUUGAAUGUGAUGAACAAAAACAAGAAUGAAGUUUUUUUUUCAAAUCAUAAAUGAAGUAAGAAUAGUACAAGUCUGACAACGGAAGAUCCUGUAGAGGGUCAAGCAACCCAGAAAGUUGAUUGUUCUGCAAGUGCCUGAAGACAAAAAAUUAAAUAUGCAUAUAACCCACCGGUAAAUGUGAAACGUGGAGAAUUGAAAGUUCUUACAAAUAUUAACUCACAAUGUAGUAAGGGAUAACAAAUCAGCCACCGAAGGAGGCAGCUGACCACUCAAGUUGUUGCUUGACAUGUCCCUAAAUAAUAGAAGAUGAUCAGACUCAAAUUUCAGAGAGGCUAUCUGAGUUAAAUGAAGACACUCACAAGUUAUUCAAGCCAUUAAGCAGCUGGAAGACAUCAGGUAUUGCCCCGGUAAGAAGGUUGUUAUUUAGUGACCUGAUGGGCAAUAAAGGCAGGUAUUGAGGAAAUUGGAUAGAUGAUGGCCUGAAAAUUGGCACCAAGAUAAUAAGAAAAUUCAAUUGUCAAUGAACUUACAGGUCCAUUAGUUGUGCUAGCGAGGCCAGUGCAGGGGGAAUGCUUCCAGUGAAUUGAUUGGCUGAUAAAGAACUAAACAAUGAAAACGACAAAUGUUAAAAAUACCAGAAAAGGACCAUUACAAAGAAUGUAAAUAGUAUUAGUUAGCAAUGACUAGCUGGUAAAGUUUUUCAAACUGAAGAAAUUGAGAGGUAACAUACAGACUUCUCAGUGUAGGGGGCAGUGUGGAUGGAAUAUUCCCUCCAAUAUGAUUGUUGCUAAGAUCCCUACUCCAUAAAACAGUAGAAAAAAACUUCAAAAGACCAUAAGUGCAGUUAUGCAAUUAGUAUAACGGAUAGGGACCCAUCUUUAAGAUUCACAUUCACAAUGAAGUUGAAACCUACAUUGAUAUUAUUGACUCGAAUUGGUCCAAGCUAGUGCCUAGCUCUCCUCCUAAAUUCAAUCCACUGAGUUGUCUGUGGCAAAACCAAACGAUUGUUACAUUAUUAACAGAAAGGAAACUGAAGUUCGCUAAAAAAUGAUGAAUUGAAUUCACAUACAAAGAUGUUAUAUUUGAGAAUACACAUUCAACCCCUUGCCACUUCUCCCCACAUGGAUCACCUCCCACAAGAAUCCAUCCUCGCAAAGGAGGGUAGCCAAGAGAAAUAAAUAAUGCAUUGAUUGCAGCAACUAGAAAUAAGAAAAAGAAGAAAAAGAAGAAAAUCAGUAACGAGUAAGAAAAUGACAGUAACAAGAACACGAAGCAAGAAGCAGAAGGCUAAGGGAGAGCAGGUUUUGCACAGCAGGUGCUAUUUACAAGCAUUUUCCUUCUGUUUUUUUUUUUUUUUUUUUUUAUCUUUUCAGAUAACCAAACAGAGACGAAAAAUCUCAAACACUGUCCAAAUGAAGUAAAAAUUAAAUAGAACACUUUAGGUAUCUGGCUUACCAUCGCGAAGGUCAGUAUCUCCAAAGCAAAAAGGGUUGAUGAAAACCAAGAGCAGCCCAAUUAGGAUCUUCAUAAGCAAAUUCCAAUUAGCACAACCCAUUAGCCAAACAGAGCUCUACUCAAAAUCCCACUUGAAUUUUUUCGUUUCUUUUAUCUGGGCAAACAAUCAGCCAAAUCUAAGCUUCCCCUCUUUCAAGAACACCAUACGUAUUAAAACACUUCAGCAUCAAACAACCCAAAGAGCUCCAAAGAAUCUAAGAUUAUUAAAAAAAAAAAAAAAAAAAACUCACAACCCCACAAUGGAGAAAACAAGGUAAAGAAGCACAAAAAUCAACAAAAGGUAAAGAUGGGUCAGCCUCCUUAGCGAAACAUAUGGAUUAUCUUUCACACCAGAGACGAAAAAGAGAAGGGAAUAAUGAAUAGAAGCAAACAAAUACCAAAUAGAGCAAAAUGCAAGUAUAAAGAAGUGGAGGAGGAAGUAAUGGAAAAGCUUUUUUCUCCUUUAACUUUUUUUUAAAAAUUAGAAAUUGUAUGAAGCACCCUGUUCCAGCAGAGAAGAAAACCAAAAAGGCAGAAAUGCAUAGAAGAAAGAAAGCAAAUGUUUUAAAAAAAGAAAAGUGGGAUAUAUCCCCAUCCCUUUUUCGUUUAAAAAGGAACAAAAUAUGAUUCUUUAUUCACGUGGAAAUUUGAGACUUUAGAACUUUGAAAAUAACAAAAUUGGAUGGGUAUAAUCUUUGCAAACGGUCGAAAUUGGAGAUUAGAAGUUUAGAAGUUAGAAGGACACUAAUUGUGGACACUGCCCACCGGCUGCAAGGGUCCACACCUCACGCUCAAUCUCAUCCCUUCUUCCUUAAGUUUUUCUCUUUCUACUUACCUAUCAUAUUUCACUAUUCUAUAUAUAAACUAUACUUUCCAUCUUACAAAUAAUAAUAAUAAAACUAAAUAAAAUCAUUUACAAUAUUUUUUUUAUUUUGUUUAGUAUAUUUACUUUUAAAUAUUAAAUUUUAAUCUUUAUACUUCAAACAAAAAAAUCAAAGUAUAGUUAUAUUUUAUAUUGGUUUUAAUCUUAGUGCUCAUAUAUUUUUUUUAAAUAAUAUUUGGAUUGAAUUUUUUUUGCAAUAUAUUCACAUGUUAUAAAUUAUUGCAUAUAUUUAUUGUUAGGUUUGUUAAAGAAAUGGUUAACUAAAUUUAAGAUUUAUGAAAAAUAUAUAAACUAAAAUUAUAUAUUAAAAAUAUGUUAAACAAGCUUAGGAGCCCAAAUCAUUUGUUAACCUAAAACUACACAGUUAUGUUUAAUUAUGUGUAAAUGUUAUAUUUAAUUUUGUUUAGUUAUUUGAAGUUAACUUCUAUUAAUUUAUUUAAUUAAUAAUUGCAAUAAUUUUUUUGAAACAAACAUUAACCCAAUUAAGUUUCAAAACAACAUACUUGAUCAAAUUAUACAAAUUAAAUUUCAAUAUUAUAAUUUUAUUUUAUUUACUAGAUUGAUCAAAUAUACGUUUUUUUUCUUAAUGGGACAAAUACUCUAUUAUUGAAAUUCGAAAGUUUUUUUUUUUAAAAAUCUUCAUUUUGUUUAGAACACUAAAAGACUAAAAGACGUUGGUGAAAUUUUAAAAGAAUUAUUAACUAUUUGUUAUUUUUUAAAAAAAAAAAAUAGAUUAUUGGAGUGAUCUCGUUAAAUUAAAAAAAAAAGGUGAGAAAAAAAAUCUCUUGAAACAAAAAUAAGUUCAAUUUUUUACUCUCCUUUUAUUUCUCUAUUACAAUUAUUUGUUUUAAACUAUUCUGGUUGUCAAAUAUAUAAACUUUGCCAAAUAAUUUUUUGUGAUAUGGAUUACCAAAGAGAAGUUGAGUUUUAUUUUAUUUCCUCUCGACAUAAGAACUUGUAUUAUUAUAUUAUGUGAAGUUGUACUUACACAUGCCAAGAUCUAUCAAUAUUGUGAAGUUCGUAAAUUUUUUUAGUAUGGUAAAAAAAAAAAAAGUGACAAAUACAUACUUAAAGUUGUGAUUUGAUUGAUAUCUAUAGUAAUAUCUUAAAGCCCACUCCAAGAAAGUGUCAAAGAACUUGUGUUUGGCAAUAAUCAUUAUUUGGCUGACUAUUUCACAUUCCAAUUAGGAAAUUGAUUAAUUGUAUAUUUACUCAAAGUUUAAAACCAAUUAAUUAGCACAACACAACCUUAAUUUGCUCUUCAUUGCUUUAUUUAUUUCUAUCAUGAAUGAUGCCUCAACCACUGUGGUGAUCUGGCUUUUGAUUAUACAUUUUUUAAAUCAUAAUUAGAUGGUUGGUUUUAACUUAGAGAACACACUAUUUAUAAAUUAAAACAUCUCUAGUUGCUUGGGCUUUAUAUAUAUAUAUAUAUAUAUAUAUUGGUACUUGGUUAAAAAUACACUAGCAAUUACCAAAUCCCAUCAUAUCAUGUUACUUUCUUUCAAUACUCUUCAAUUUCUUGUUAUCUUAAUAUCAAUUUUUUUUUAUCAAAAGGUCAAUUGGACUAGUUCAUGUGUUGGCUAAAAAAUAGAAAAAUAAUAUUCCCACUUAAAGUGAUCUGUUUUGAUUAAGCUUUACAUAAUUUUAGGAUUUAAUCAAGUGAGAUUUUUAAUUAUUUUUUCAUUGUUGUGGAUAGAUAUGUUUAUUUCAUCCCAUUAAACCUAUUGCAUUUUUUGAAUGAUUCAUAAACUUUAUUCUUAUAUUUAAAUCAACAUCCAUUACAUUAACUUUUUUUUGCCUGUGUUAACAAGAAAUUUAUUCUCUUCAAAAGGAAAAAAAAAAUGUUUAUUUUAAAAGAUUAUGGAUCCACUGAAAAAACACUUAAAAAGAAAUAAUUUUUUAUUUACUAAUUAUAUACUUUCUAUAUUAUUUAUUUAUGUGUGUGUGUGUAUAUAAGUCUUUUUUUUUUUUUUUUGACAUAAAGAUUGUUGGAGUGAAUUGAUGGGGAAAAUCAAUAACUUUUUUAAUAUGACACACAUAUAUAUAGACAUGGUGUCUGUCUCACGUUAAAGACAUAAUUUGCAUACAAUGAUUAAGAAAUUAGGUGUUAAAGAUUCAAAACUAAAUAACUUUACAAGUGAUGAAUAAAUUAUAUAACUUUCCACUUGAACAAUGGAAGAAAAUUAUGUGACCUUUACCAUGGCACCCCUCUCUCAAUUGAGCAAAACAAAUGUUUGGUGUAGAAGCAACAACAAAGAAGAAGUAAUAGAUUGCUUGUAUUUCACUAGAUAAAAGAUUCACAUUAUCAUUAUUAAUACAUCAUAAGAUUGCCACAGAAACAUCGUCAGUCUUAUCAUAGUUUCAAUUGGUUAAUUAAAGACGCACAUUUCAUCCAAAUAUUGGAAAUCCAAAUCUUCUAGUUUGACUUGAGCAUAGCUUAUACUUUUAAUAACAUACUCUUUCAUUUUUUUAAAUUUUCCAUUCCUUCUUCCCUUUAUGAUAUAGCUUUUGAGAUUGCAAGUAAAUUGUGUAUAGAUGUCUGAAGAAUAGAGGGAGAAUGACUAAUUUGGAUUUUGAUUAAUAAUAAAUAUAUUUUUAAUAACCAUUAAUUAUGUUUUUAUAAACGAACUCCAUCAAUGAUGUAUUGAAAUCUAAAAUGAUAAUGAUAGAAAAUUUUGCUCUUCAGUUGCAUUGAUUGAGACACUUUGUUCUUUUCAAUGUUAAUGGUUUACGAAACAUACAUGACUAAAAAGACGAUCCUCCCAACUACAUAAUCACUCCAUUUUAAGUUAAGAUGGCAUUUAGUGCAAGAUUUUAAGUGAAUUUUAUGUUGCUGAUUUAUAGUUCAUCACAUUCUAUUUUAUUUCAAUUGUGGUUACUUGAGUGACUGACGUUUUAAAUAUUAAACAAGAAAAAUAACAAUCAAACCAUUUUCAAUUAUUAUUUAGGAAUAGUUGCAAAUUUAGAAAUUAAAUUCAAAUUAAUUAAGUAUAUAACACAAUUUUAAAAAAUUUGCAAAUAUAGCAAAAUUUGUCAAAUUAUAUCAAUGAUAUAAGUCUAUCACUGAUGAUAGACCAUGUUGCAAAUAUUGGUCUAUCACUGAUGAUAUAUCAUAUGAAGUUCUAUCAGUGAUAGUUUUUUAUAUAUUGGCAAUUUUUUAAAAUGUUUAAAUAGUGACAAUUUUUCUAUUUUUUAUUAAGUAAAUAUAUAUGGAAAGUGUUGGUCACCAAAUAAAGUGGGCCGAAACAGUUUUGGGCCCAAGGCCCAACAACACGUCGGGUUGCUGAAUCCCAAAAGAACAAGGAGGCGUUUCAAAUGGAAAAGAGCCCACGACGAACGUUGACACCUAAGAAAGAAGGCAACAAUGUGAUUGGUCUGUGAGAGUUGCUAAAAUGACCGAAGAUGAAGGUUUAGAGCUAGUUAUAUAAUUAUUGGUUGUUGUUUGAUCAACGUAGUGAUAAUUAAUGUAUAAGUGUGUUGUCUUGCGGUACCCCGACCCAUCCACUGCCUUUACACACUGUUUUUCUUUAUAAUCCAUCACUCAUGUCUGCUUUCUUUGGACCACCCAUCCUUAAUACAUUCAAUUUUCUAAAUUAUGACUAUGCCAUAUGAAUCUUAUACUCCUAGAUUACAAUUCACAUUGCUACCUAUACUCACCUUCUACUUUAGGUGUCAUCAAAUUCAUAUAUUAUGUAUAUUAUAUAUGUGUGUGUUGCCCACAAAUCCGCCGCCCAGUACCAUAUCUCAGAUCUUCUUACUUCACAAAAAUCAAAUCAAAUGAUGGACACACAUCACGAGUCCUUAAUUCCUUACUUAUUUAUUUGCAUGGAUUUCAUAUAUUUCGAGCAAUGCAUUAUUAUUAUUAUUAUUAAAAGGAAGUAUAAGUUUCCCAGAUCAUUAAAUUAAAAUAAGAAUAAUAAAAGGUAUUAAAGGGUAAAGUUUUUAAUUUUUGUUUCCCCUCCUGAUUAAUUAAUUCGUACUAUCCGCCGUAACUGCUUCUGUCUUUAAAAUUCAAUUCAUUGAUAUCUCACACUCUCAGUUCCCAAAUCUUCCACCUUUCCCUCAAAAUUACAAUGCUCUGAAGCCUGCUCUCACAAAUGGGUUGCUGUCUUAGUUCCACCCAAUCCUUCAGUUCACCUAACAAAUUCCAUUCCAAUUCUGUCAAUGUAAGCAGAGACCCUCCGUCUUCCAUGGAGGAAGAGACCGUCAAAGAAGUGCUCUCUGAAACACCUGCUCUCAAACCGCCGCAGAAGAAUAAUUCUGCACCUGAACAAGAUGAAUUUCGCAAACCACUCGGUGAUGAGAUCGAGAAGAAGCUUUCUGAAAUUCCCAUUAACGGAAUUCCAGAACAGCCUUCUGAAUUCUAUGAAAUUUCCCAUAUGAACAAGUGUAUCUCAGUCUCCGCCGCUACUUUCACUGAUCAAACAGACGGGGGCGGUGAAGUUCAUCAAACGGUUUUGAAAUCAUCGCCAGUGAAGUUGACGAAAAAUCAAUCAGUUUCCAGUGACGUUGAGUUAAAAAGAGAAAUUCAGCAGAGCAGGACACUGACCCGGAGAUCCGACCAGUCACCAGUUCGACGAAAUGGCGCCGUUGGGUCGAUUAGAAUGGUUCAUAACAGAGACAUGAGCCCGGCAAUGGCGCGGCGAGGAUUGAGAGCAGAGCCUCCCCGAAGAGACCCAGAUGAGAACUCCAGCCGGAGAUCCCACUCACCGUCUACCGCUCGUUCUGACAGCGCAGGGUAUAGAUCUGCACUCAGUCGGACACCGUCAGCGAGAAAGUCCGGUAAAUCAUCGCCCAUUACGGCGAUGACAGCGACAAGUCAAAAAGUUGUAGAAGAAAACAAUAUCGUAGAUGGAAAAUUCAACACUCAGAUUGAAUCACUUGAGAACCCUCUGGUUUCAUUAGAGUGCUUCAUCUUCCUCUGAUUUUGUGCGUGGAUUUCACUGAUCUUUCAUUUUUCUUGUUUGAUUGUAUUAAAGUUUUUUGAGUGAACAUUGAAGUAAAUUAAACAACAACGGCGGUGGAUCGCCGGAGAAUUAAUUGAAGGUCACUGGAAAGGUUGGUAUGUUGGAUAUUAAUUUUCAAACUAGAAGUAAAUUAAUGGAAUUAGAUUUAUUUGUUAAUGGUUGUGAUUUGAAUGAGGUAACCGACGUAAAAGAGAAGACAAAAUCCGCCGCAUAAAUCACUGUUGAUCACAUGAUUUUAGAGGGAAUGGGCUGUAAAUUGUUAAUCACAUUGUUAAUCCAAAACCACAACCAAAAAUGGUAGAGUAGCUCAAUUUGUUGCUUUAGUUUUUGUUUUUAAUUGAAGAUUAUUAUCUUGAGAAACUUCUAAUUCUAAAUAAUAUACUCUUCUCUAGAUUUGGGUCUCCCAUCCCCAACUGUUCCUUCACUCUACUCUUUUAAAUUCUCAAUGUACUUGUAAUUGAAAUUCCAAGUUUGGAAUUCUUUCUUGGGAAAAACUUCUUCAUUUCUUCACUAGGAUUCCAACACACAUGCAGUCAGAAUGAGAGAAUUUUUUGCCAAUCUCAACGAAGUUUUUCUAUAUUUGUCUCCUGUCACAUGAUAUAGAUAACCCAAGACAUAAUUUAAUAUUUUUGCCCUUUUGCAAAUAGAACUCAACGCAUACCUAUAACGUCUAUUACUCUCUCUCACUUUCCUUCUCUUCUCUCAUAAUAAAAUCCAAUGAAAUAUGAAACCUCUACAAACAAACUCAUAAUAGCGAUCCCUUUACAGCAGUAACAAAUGUUGGCAGAUGCAUGCUGACAUAGAGAAAAGAGAAAAAUUCUUAAGUUAAAAAAAUUAUAGUAAAAUGGGAGCUUCUAUAUGUAGUUGUUUAGUUUAUCUUUUCCAAGAGGAAAUAAAUCAUAAAAUGUCACAGAGUUUUUGUACAACGUUCUUUUUUUCUCGUGAAUACUUUGGUUUCUAAGUUAAUUUUGUAAAGUAAUGUAAUAUUAAAGCAUGAAUCAUACACUUGGGUUGGUUUUGUAUAGUACAUGAGUUAAGAGAAAGCAAACCACACAUCAAAACAAUAAAUUCAACUUUUCAACUCUGUCUUACACAAAAAGCUAAGUAGAUGGUGAGCUAAAUGAGUUGAUACACAAUUAUACAUAAAUUCAAACUUAAAAGAAGCUACGUACAAUUAUAUAAAAACAGUAUGAAAGUUGUGCAUUUCAUGUCACUUUCUUAAUUAAAGAAAAGGGUUAAUGAUGUAACAAAAAACUUUUGAAUUGAGAGGAUGAGAAGAAUGAAGUUGAAAUUCAGAUAGAAUUGGGAGGGAAAAUGGAAGAAUGGGAAAACUCCGUUUUAAGGCCGUUGGGAGUAAGGCAGCUAAGUGUGUGGUGGUCCAAUGCCAUUUGGAGUCAUUCCAACACUAAAUACCAAAUCAAAUUUCUGGCUGCUUUUGGUAAGUGGUAACUUCAAUUCAAUCUUUUUAAAAAAGAAAACAACUUUUUUUGUUUUUGAGAUAAGAAAAAAAGGUGAAAAAACAGUUUCCUUUCUAGUGGAAUCCUAUGGAAAUUGGAAAAAAUGGCUUUUAGGUACAUCACACAUCCAUUUUCGUACAUUGUUU